AAUCUUCCACUGUAUGAUCGAUCAAGGAAGGUUCUGCAUUUAUAUUAACUUUCAUCAGAAUUUUUAUUGGCAUCAAUGUCAAUUCAUCCUUCUCCUCCUAAGCACCAAUCAUCAUUUAAAUACAAUCACAGAAGACACUAACAAAGCAAACCCAGUGGUCUUGCUGUGGGGAGCCGAAAGCAUGAAACACUACCAUUUCGUACUCGUACAUGGCGCCUGCCACGGCGCGUGGAGCUGGUACAAACUCAAGCAUCGGCUCGAGUCGGCCGGCCACCGCGUCACAGCGCUCGACCUCGCUGCUUCUGGCACCAACAGAAAGUCCAUACACGAUGUCCACACGUUCCGCGAGUACACCGAGCCUCUGCUGGAGCUCCUGGCCUCACUCGGGGCGCACGAGAGGGCAAUCCUCGUCGGCCACAGCUCGGGCGGCUUGAACUUGGCUCUCGCUGCCGACAGGUGCCCAGACAAGAUAUCGGUAGCUGUUUUCCUGGCGGCUUUCAUGCCAGACACCGCACAUAGGCCGUCAUACGUGCUGGAAGAGGUAAAUCUCUGCUGAACGCGCGUUAGAUUCUCAAAAUGAAGUCGUCUUUCUUGCUUUUGGUUGAAGUGGACCUUUUCCCUUUCGAUUUUGGAGAUUUUACUCUGUUUCAGUUGGAAUUCAUCUAAAUAAUCAACUCAUAUAUGUCUCUAACCCUACAUGCAUGAGCUCAUUUUUAAUGGCUUAUGUCCCUUGCGAUGGAAGUACUGCGCGAGGGCUCUGGAGGGAGCAUGGUUAGACACUUCUUUCACGUCCAUCGGAAAGCCUGACAAACCCUUGACGUCCAUCUUCUUCGGCCCCGACUUCUUGUCAUCCAAGCUCUACCAGUUGUCUCCUCUUGAGGUACGUUUUCACUUCCGUCCAUUGGCAUCAACGAAGCAUAUCUCCUCACGCUUUAAAUGGUUUGGCUUUAACUCAAUUUACUCCAAAAGCUUGAGAUGACAUUACCUUGAAUAGCAAACGACUACUGUAAAAACCACUUUUUCGUGUCCUUUUGUUGAGGGUAGCAAUUGAUGAACCUAGCCGGAUCUUUUAAUUGCAGUCUAAUCUUCUUUUUGAUAUGAUCUCGUCAUUUUGCGAGUUUUAUCCAUUUGAGAUUAGAAAUUAGGUAUGAACUCGUCCUAUAGGACUUGAGAUUGGUUAAGAAUUUUGUGGUUGGAAAAUCCAAUGCCCAUACUUGAUAUAUGUGUAACAAUUAAAAGGUCAUUUGUUUCCUUUAUAUAUCUUAGAUGAUUUAGUAAAUGCACAUAAUUAUUAUCUUCGUUAGAAUUCAUAACGGUUUUCUUGCAUUUUUUAAGUUGCCCUUACUCUGAUAAAACCCUCAAGCUCCCUCAUCCAUUUUAGGGGUUAGCAGCGGUCUAGGGUCGACCCUGGACUGACCCUGGACCGGCCCAACCCUGCCGGUCCUGGUCAGGUUCCCAAGGGGACUGGGUCGAUCCUUGGUCCUGAAAUUCCAGGACCAACACCGUGCGGGUUGGUCCUCGGUCCUAAGAGUUUUGGGUCAGUCCAACCCUAGACCAACCCUGUAUAUUAUAUUAUAUUAUAUUAUAUUAUAUUAUUUAUAAGUCUUUUAUAUAUUCAAACCUAAGUAAAAUGUCUAUUAUAUUAUAUUAUAUUGAGAUGUUCUAUCAAUAGCACUAAUAGUAAUUUCAAUUUAAAACUUUUGUUAAGUAUUAAUUAUGUGUCAUUUGUUUUGUUUUCAAGUGUUUAGAAGUUCAAGUGAAUUAACAAGAUGUGAAGUUAUAUAUUCAUGGUUUAUAUUAAGUAUUUUGAACUUUUUAUGAUUUAAUUGUAUUCUACUAAUGAAUUUCAGCUACACUUUACUUUUCAAUUUGUGUUAAAUGGUAUAAGUUUUUGAAGAGUAGAGUAGUACUGCAGUUGCUACGGUGAUUUGCUAGUCAAGUGGUGUGAAGCUCAUUUUUUGGUUGAGUGGACUCUAUAUGAUCAAAUGCUAGUCAAGUGGUGCGAAGCUCAUUUUUUGGUUGAGUGGACUCUACAUGAUCAGGAAAACGCUUUUGCAUAUGGUGUUAUAAAUAUUAAAGAUAAAUGAUUAUAAAGACUUUCCAUCUUGUCCCAUAUUUCGAUGAGCGGUUAGCAGAUACGGAAUUUCUAUUAUUGUGUCAUCUUAAAUUUGCUAAAUAGGUAUUGGUAUUUUAUAGUUUAGUUGCACAAUGCCGUAUUGUUGAUGGAUGUGUAAUUUGAAUUUGUAGGUUUGCUUUUUUAGGAAGUAUAAAAAAUAAGACGAAAAAAAUUAUCGAUCGGUCCUGGGUUGACCUUGGAAAUGGACCGAACCUAUUGGGUCGGUCCGGUCCUUGGUCCCAAGCUCAAUAGGGUUGGUCCUCGGUCCUAAAAAUUGAGGACCGACACUGUACGGGUUGGUCCUAGGGUUAGGGGGUGGCCCGGACCAACCCAGACCAUGCUCACCCCUAAUCCAUUUCUAGGCUAUAAAAGGGGGAUCGGGUUGCUUCACGAUAAAAUUCGAGAAUACUAAGACUAUUAGAAUGAUAACGACCAUUUCACACAUAACUUUUUAGUAAUAUUAGAACCUUAGAUUUUUAUGAUUGUCAAUUCUACAUUCUUUCAAUCGUCCAUAUGGUCCUUAUAGAAUCCUAAUUGAAGAUUUGCAAUUCAUAAGUUGUGAAGAUAUUUAACGAUAUGAUUUUUAGAAAGCGUUAUGGCGAGUUGCCAAUACCUUACAAUAACGUAACUACCUUAGUGAGGUGUGUUUAGGAUACUAUAUCAAGACCCUUAAUAAGCUUGGAACAUGUCUGAUAAAAAAAAUUAAGUUAAUGAGAUGGGUUGGGUCAAUAUUAACUAUUCCAUACCCAUCCUACUUCCGUCUCUAUUACAAACAUGACCACGGUAGAAGUGGAAAAAACCGAACACCCAAAAAGAAAGCCCAAAAUUUACAUUCCGAUGUGAAGAAAAUUUCAGCCUACGUGGUCCUUUUACAUUAUAUAUUCUGAAAUGAAGAACAUCGUAUGUUUGUAUAAAACACCAAUGCAUCACAUGUAAACUUGAUCGAUGGCCAGGCAUGGUUGGAUCUUCCCACGACCUAACGCGAUAUUUUGUGCCCAACUACACCUACACCUACACCUACGUGGGUGGGCCAAAGCAUAAAAAGGAAAUUGCUUGAUAGGCAGGUAUAAUUUGUGCUUAGAACAUUGUUAGCAUUUUUUCAUGGAAAUGUUACAUUUUCGAAGGAUCUGGAGCUUGGUAAGAUCUUGGUGAGGCCGGGUUCGUGGUUCUUGGAGGACCUGAGCACGUCAAGCAACUUCACCCGCGAAGGGUACGGGUCCACGACGCGGGUCUAUGUGGUGUGCAAACAAGAUCUGGGGAUACCCCUGGAGUUCCAAAGGUGGAUGAUCGCAAGCGGUGGGGCGCACCACGUCGUGGAGGUGGACGGGGCGGAUCACAUGGCCAUGCUCUCGAAGCCGCAGGAGAUCUGUGAUUGUCUGUUGGAGAUUGGGGCCAAAUACGAACGUGCCUAACAUUUGCAAUUUCGUUUGUCGGAUUCUUGAGUUUGGUUUGUAAUUCCUUUUUAGUUGUCGUGUCGAUACGACCAUCUUUUAUCGUUUCAAUUUGACAUGCAAGUGAUCCAAAUCCAGCAAUCCGACCCAACCAUUUCAAUUCCGAUGAAUGGAUUGUCUAGGAUUUUUAGCCUCAGCGCGUACUCGGCAGUCAAUUCGUUACGUGAACCGUCUGUGUAGAGUAGUGGACAAAAGGAAAAGGAAAAUGUGCGAACAUUUUCAUGAUGAUGGACGGAGGCUAUAUGGGCUUAGGUGGAAACUUUUUUUCACACUAGUUUCACGUCCAAAAAAGAUAUUCGUAAAUUUAUUAUCUACCUAAUGUUGAUUUUCAUUUUUAUUUCCUCAAGUAGCACAAGGUUUCACUAAUUGUGGGUUAGAUGAUAAAAGGACAUCGUCUAUUGUAAUCAUCAAUCCCUAUUUAUUGUGGUCCGUGAGACUUUUAUGGUUUUACUUCUUUCAACAGCAACGGUGCGGCGCACUGUCUAUGUUCAUGUGUGUUAGCAUACUGUUUUGUGUCAUUUGAGGCUUACUAUGUUUGACAAAAAAAAAAAAAAUGCACGAUUUACAAGAUAUUUUGCUAAAAAUAUCGUUUAUAUUAUUUAUAAAAAUAAAUAAGUGAUAAAUAUUUUCAUUAUCAUGAAAACGUUUACAAAUAAAUUAUUGUUGAUAAUGAAAAAUAAUUCAACAACCAAUUAAUUUAAGCUAUAUGAGUAAUCAUUUCUAGAAAAAUAUUUUUCAAACAAUUCAUUUUUCAUGAAAUAAAGAAAGUUCAAAACUUUGCGACAGAUUUUUUGUUCAUGGUUCAUUCCCUUUCAAAUUUACUUAACAGAGAAAAUAUAAAUUCAGCAGUUUGUUUAAAGCUCUUUAAAGCUUAUAACUGCCUUAAAAACAUGAACUCGGAUAGAUGCAAGCAACCGCUUAUCCGUGCAAUUUCUGCACCAAGGUCAAGCGGAGAGAAACCUGCAUACACGCUACAACCCUUGAAUUGACUUUGACAACAUUGUUAAUCCAUCAAUAAAUUAGGGAUGAUUCGAUAGAAAGGUAUCUUUCGCCCGGGUAUCCAGCAUCAGUCAAAAUUUUCGUGCCUCGAACUGUUGAAGCAAGAGCGGGGUCAGAUCUUCUGAACCUCAGGCUGUAAGUACUGUCGAUCCUAAAUGUAAAUGAACAUCUUCUUGUGCAGAUGAUUCGCCGCUUUCUUUUCAGGCGAUGCUUCUCCAAAUCCUGCAAUGCAAGAUCAUGUAAAAAUAAGUAUAUAUAUACACAGAAAGAGGGAGAAAGUAUGUGAAAUAUUUUAAUGGGGACGUACAUCUUCAGGCAAUGAAGGCGAGUUCAGCAAGUGGCCACUCGACAGGCGAAGAGAGGCUUUUCAGUGAUAGAGGGAGAAGGGAGUUCAGUCUCGUCUCGGCGGCUUCCUCCUUCGAUCCAUCUUGCAAGUGCUUUUUUUGGUACAUUAGUUUGAAAGAAAACUAUUCUCGGAAAUAUAAUUUCUGACUUUUUGGUGUUUGGAUGAUGGAAAAAUAAUUGAUUUACAGAAAAGAAAUUCCAUUAACUAAAAAAAAAAAAAAACUUAAAUUAGGAGAGAAGAACUUCUCUUCCGGCAAGAAUGAAACCACUUUUUCUAAGCCACCAAAUAAAUGAAAGAUAACCAUUUCCCUUUAAAAUGAUUUUCAUGAAAAUAUUUUCCUUUAUCAUGAAGUAUUCAGUGAAACAAAUGCACCGUUAAGGCUUCAUGCAUUUGUUACGUCGAAAAUAUAUGAUUUGUAAUAUAUUUUCAUAAAAAUGAUCAUUUGUAUUGCUAAAAAUAAUUAGUCAAUAAAAAUGAUUUCAUUAUUGUGGAUACUGAAAAUAUUUUUGUUUAUUUAUUUUUGUAAGGGAUAUAAACAACAAUUCUUAAGAAAAAAAUUUAGAUCAUUUAUUCACUGUGAAACAAAUACGUCGGCUCUAUUUGUUUUUGUUAAAAUGUUUUUCAAGGAAAGAUUUUCGGAUUUUCUGCUAUAUGACCCAACAAAAACAAAUGGUUCAAAGAAAAUAAUUUCCACCCAUAGAAAAAGGUCUUGUAAAAUUAAGGAAAAAGACUUUCGCUUUUUGAAAAACGGAAAUCACUUUCCCCACUCUCGUGUCAAGCAGUCCUUGUUCAUUUUGCUAAAUGUUUUGAUGGGUUUUUUUAUUUGAUGGGCCAAGUCAAGCAUAUCUGCCCAUGUUGGGCCAAACCCAGCCCAUAAGGGAAGGGGUCAGUUAUUUUUUAAAUGAAAAUAACUACUAUAUAAAUAUGAAAAAGGAGGAACAUCGAGAGAUAGAAUGAAAUAGUAUGUUCCUUUCCUUCCCAUGAGAUAACAGUGUACUCAUUUUUUUAAGAACAGAACUCCAAGGCAACGAGUACUUAAUUUAUGGCAAACAAGGUAUGUCUAUCUCUGUAAUAUAUUUUGCAAGUGGUGUUAUAUUUUUCCUGGGCACGACUCCGUGUUUUGUUUUCGAUAUUCGAUCAUUCAAUUAUCGAUUUCUUUUUUUAGGAAUCUAUUUCCCACAUUAGCAUUAGAAGGAUGUUGUUCAUACUUCCCGAUCAUUGUUGACGUUUAUAAUUUGUUUUUGGCCAAAAUUUUGAGAAAUGUUGCCUUCGAACACUCGAGGACGGAAAUCACAACACCCACAUACUAUUCACCCCUCCUUUUUUUAUUUUACGUGGGUCAAAACUCAUUUUUGAAAGUGCAAGGUCUUAGUUCUCAUCAAGACGAGAAAAACGAUAGGUGGCUUGCUACCAGGGGUUGCUAGACACCCCACCACGGUUGACCGAAAGUUUCUGGCUCGUUGGCGCAUGCGAUGCACGAGUCAAGGAAGUUUCCCCAAGCGCGUGUGCUACAAAUGUGUGUGGCAACCGCAAGUGCGUGCACGGUAUGCAUGCAGUAACCACACCCAUGUGCAUGGCACGCAUGCAAUAAUUGCCCCACACUUAAGCCACAUGCGCCUACUAACGUCAUCAUGACGUCAGCCAACUAUUGCCCGCGCAUGUGCGGGACAUGUACUAAUGACGUCAUCUAGUUGAGUCAGUUAGUUUGACCCAAUCCGCCUGACCCAACUCGAUCAUCCGUUGGCUGGCAUCAAUCGUUGAUUGGCAUUAACCUGCGUUGACCGACAUUGACCAUUGACCGUUUAACCACAAAAAAAAAAAAAUUGUGUUUCUUUUUCAAUUAUGUCCCUAUGGUUAUAAGUAAUCCUUUUUUUGUUUUGCAUUUGUUGCAGGAACAAUGCCUCCCAUUUGUAUGCAUACACUUAUUUGCGUAUAGUCAAAAAGAUAAAAAGCAAGACUUGAAAGGAUAAUAGUUGAGUUGGCUAAUUAUCAAUGGAAAAGUGGAGAUAUAAUUGAACAUAUUCUCAAGUUUAAUAAGAAGAUAUAACAAGUUAUUUGGAAGGGUUAUUUCAUGCAAGCUUUUGAGAUUGUGCGGCUCUUGAAUAACACUCUUUCAUCUGAAUAAUAAGGAGUGUUGAAUUGCCUAUGGGAGGUCAACGUGGUUCAUGAUUAUAAGAAGCUUGUAGUGGCUUUUUUGAAGAAUUAUUAUAGAUUUGAAGCAACAAAGACUUCAACCCAAGGAAUGAGUUCAACCCAACAGGGAUGAAUGUGCGAGCGAGAAAUCCUAAGGGAUUUCCGUCUACUUUUCUAUGGUUGCCAAAUGUACUUAUAAAAUUUUCAAAGAAAAUUACUAAGAAAUUAAAAAAAUCUUUCCUUGUUCAUCGAUUAACUUGGCAUUAGUUGUUUUCAUUUGUGUUUACUUAGUAUGCUUUAUGGAUAUCUUAUGUAAAUAAUUCCUACCAUAUUAAUGUUGUCGUAGCCAUUGAUGUAUUGGUUACAUUAUGUGGAAAUAUUUUUUUAUCAUUAAUGGAUAUUCAAUGUCAAUUGCUUUUGUUAUUAUUAAUUGUUGUGGGUAGUUUAUAGAAGUGUUUUUAGCUUCAAAAAACUUAUUUUGCAUAGAAGAUUAUAUUAAUGACAAUUUCAAUUUUGGAUUUUGGAUGAUAAUUGGAAACAAUAGUGACAUUUUGAUUCUAAAAUCUUAUUUGAAAUUAUCUAUUAUAUGAUGAGUUUAUGCAAAAUAGAGAGGUUGGGACACUUGGAGUGCCAUAACUUGGCAGGGAGGGACACUUAAGUGCCAUAAAUUUAAAAUUAUACACUUAAGUGCCAAUAUCGGAGUAAAAUGGGACAUUUAAGUGCCACUCCGGCAAAAAUCCGGCCAAAUGGUUUACGUUGCCAUUUUCCGGCGAGUUUGGUCCAAAACAGCGUCGUUUUGCACGCUGACAUGACGAAGAAAAUGCAAAAACAACGCCGUUUCGUGUCUACGUGUAAAUAAUAAUAUAAAAUUAAUUAAAUUAGAUUUAAAAUUAAUUUUAUUUAAAAUAUUAAAAAAAUUAAAAAAAUUAAGAAAAAAUUUAAAAUUUAAAAUUUUUUAAAAAUUAAGAAAAUUUAAAAGAAGGGGGGGGGGGUUGAAUGAUGCGGCUGAUGGCCGAUCCCGCACUGCCUCCGCCACCCCCCCUUCCGUGGGAAAAGUUCGCGUGGAUGGGGGUCAGGACCCCCAGAUUUCUCAGCUAUCAAUAGGCCGCUACCCCGCGGGUGAGAAAGGUGGAUGGACACAUACGGCCAUUGAGAGUAAAACGUGUAUGGGGCUUGCGAUUGAUAGACACGGGAGAGACGAUAAAUCGUGACUUUUCAUGGCCAGCUCCUGACCAUUACCUACUCCGAUGCUUCUGCCGCGUUGCUAUUGACUUCCCCUUAGGUGUCNNNNNNNNNNNNNNNNNNNNNNNNNNNNNNNNNNNNNNNNNNNNNNNNNNNNNNNNNNNNNNNNNNNNNNNNNNNNNNNNNNNNNNNNNNNNNNNNNNNNNNNNNNNNNNNNNNNNNNNNNNNNNNNNNNNNNNNNNNNNNNNNNNNNNNNNNNNNNNNNNNNNNNNNNNNNNNNNNNNNNNNNNNNNNNNNNNNNNNNNNNNNNNNNNNNNNNNNNNNNNNNNNNNNNNNNNNNNNNNNNNNNNNNNNNNNNNNNNNNNNNNNNNNNNNNNNNNNNNNNNNNNNNNNNNNNNNNNNNNNNNNNNNNNNNNNNNNNNNNNNNNNNNNNNNNNNNNNNNNNNNNNNNNNNNNNNNNNNNNNNNNNNNNNNNNNNNNNNNNNNNNNNNNNNNNNNNNNNNNNNNNNNNNNNNNNNNNNNNNNNNNNNNNNNNNNNNNNNNNNNNNNNNNNNNNNNNNNNNNNNNNNNNNNNNNNNNNNNNNNNNNNNNNNNNNNNNNNNNNNNNNNNNNNNNNNNNNNNNNNNNNNNNNNNNNNNNNNNNNNNNNNNNNNNNNNNNNNNNNNNNNNNNNNNNNNNNNNNNNNNNNNNNNNNNNNNNNNNNNNNNNNNNNNNNNNNNNNNNNNNNNNNNNNNNNNNNNNNNNNNNNNNNNNNNNNNNNNNNNNNNNNNNNNNNNNNNNNNNNNNNNNNNNNNNNNNNNNNNNNNNNNNNNNNNNNNNNNNNNNNNNNNNNNNNNNNNNNNNNNNNNNNNNNNNNNNNNNNNNNNNNNNNNNNNNNNNNNNNNNNNNNNNNNNNNNNNNNNNNNNNNNNNNNNNNNNNNNNNNNNNNNNNNNNNNNNNNNNNNNNNNNNNNNNNNNNNNNNNNNNNNNNNNNNNNNNNNNNNNNNNNNNNNNNNNNNNNNNNNNNNNNNNNNNNNNNNNNNNNNNNNNNNNNNNNNNNNNNNNNNNNNNNNNNNNNNNNNNNNNNNNNNNGAGGGACUAUUGUGAUAAUUAUGGCAGCUGCUGGGCCAUAUGGGACCUGAUAUGAUUCGACUGUUGGAGCUCUCACGGCAUCAAGGGGGGACAGUGAGAGCCGAUGCGAUCCCCCUGGCUGGGACCGGGCAACCCCUGCCCCGUCCCGGCAACGGCGGGGGAGGGUGGCAACAGUGAGGGCUCAGCCCUCAGCCGCCCCAUUCGACCCCCCCCCUUUUUUUUCAAAAAAAAAAAAUCUUAAUUUUUUAAAAUUUUUAAAAUUUCCUUAAUUUUUUAAAAUUUUCUUAAUUUUUUUAAUUUUUUGAAUAUUUUAAAUAAAAUUAAUUUUAAAUCUAAUUUAAUUAAUUUUUAUAUUAUUAUUUACACGUAGACACGAAACGACAUCGUUUUUGCAUUUUCUCCGCCACGUCAGCGUGCAAAAUGACGCCAUUUUGGACCAAACUCGCCGGAAAGUCACCACGUCAGCCAUUUGGCCGGAUUUUCACUGGAGUGGCACUUAAAUGUCCCUUCGUGCCAAGUUACGGCACUUGGGCUGUUCUUUUGCCCAAAAUAGAUGCAUAAAUAAUAUACAUUAAUAAUUUAUGCAUGUAUGUCUAAUAUGUUCAGAUCUAAUGGCUUCAGUAACUAAGAGUAUAGUCGUUGAAUAAUACAAAAGUGAGAAGUUGAACGGCAAUAAUUAUGAAAUAUGGUAUAUGAAAAUCUAAUGUGUGCUGGAAGAACAAGAGACACUAAAACUCUUAACCUGAUUAUAGAAGAACAUUGCACAACAUAAAAAAUAUAAGAAUGCAUUUGAUGCAUGGAAAAGAAAUAACUCCAUUGCUCGCAUUACGUUCCUGAGUAGCAUGAAAAAUGGUGUCAUGCGAGAGUUAAGGUGUUUUAAGAAUGCGAAAUAAAUUUAAGAAGCAUUGGUAACAAGAUUUGGUCAUACAACAGUGACCAAAUUGAGAUAGCUCACUCUAAGGUUUGACUCUUACAAUAAACCUUAUGGUCAGAUCAUAAAACAACACCUGAGAAAAAUGUCAAAUAUGAUUAAUGAGCUUAAUGAUGUUGACCAUGUUCUAACUGACAAGAAGUAAGUGUAAGCAAUGAUCUGUUCAUUGCCUUAAAGUUGGGAGUAUAUAAAGGUGCACCUGAUACACAAUAAGAACAUUGAAACCCCUUGAGGAUGCAGUGCGCCACCUUAAGCUAGAAGAGGACCACCUCUUGGUGGCUAAGUUGGAAACUAACAUUCACUAUGCUGGUUCUAACUCAUAAGGAGCUUCGAGCUCUAAACACAAAUGUUUUGAUUUGUUCAAAAUGUGGAAAGAUAAGGGAGUGAGCUCUUCGGGGAAGAAACCAAGAGUUGAUCAACAUGAGAGAGAAAAGCGUCAUCAAGUGAAGAAUUUGUCAAGGGUGAAGUUUUAUAACUAUGGCAAAAAAGGUCACUCUGCUAGCGAUUGUCAUGAGCCAAAGAAGGAAACACCCCUUGUAUUCUUGAUAACUUUACUUACAUAUCAAGUUUUGUAUUCUUAACUGAAUUUAAUCUUUUAUAAACUAUAAAUUUGAGAGCAACAAAUCAUGUAAAGAAGGAUAGAUAAUCUUUUGUAGAAUUCUGAUGAUUACUGAUUGGAACGAAAUGGAUUUAUAUAGGAAACAACUUUAGAACUGAAGUAAAAGAGAUGGGCACCUGCUAAUUAAAUAUGCAUAGUAUACACACUUUGUUCGAACAUGAUGUAUUAUAUGCUCCAGAAAUUCGUUGAAAUUUAAUAUAUGUGUUAGUGUAGAUUUAUAUUUAUACAUAAACUACUAUGGUAAUGGUUAUUUUCUAGAUAGUUUUAUUGUAUUGGAUGUUGACUAUGGUAAUGUCAAUAUUUGUUAGUUCUUAUUCACGUCUUCUAAUUCAUAUGAUAAUGAUAUGAAUGUAUGGCAUGCUAGACUUGAUCAUAUUAGCCAACAACACAUGAAUAGACUAGCUAAAGAGGGCUUGUUAGACAACAUUAAAAAAGUCGAUUUGUCCAUCUAUGAGCAUUACCUAGUAGGGAAAAGAACAAAGAAACCAUUUGAAAAAUGUAAAAUAGCUGAAUUUCUUUCGUAAUUAAUCUAUUUAGACAUUUAUAAUCCAAUGAAUGUGAGGGAAAAGCACGAGCCUAUUUGUUUCAUCACAUUUAUAGAUGAUUAUAUUGGAUUCAGAUAUAUCCAUUUGAUUUCUCUUAAAUCUCAAGCAUUUAGUUGUUUCAAGAAGUUUAUGAACUUAGUAGAAAAUCAACUAGAUAACAAAAAAAAAAAAAGCAUUUAGAUCCAACCGAGGACAAUAAUAUCUAUCUGAUGAGUUCAAAAAAUUAAAUGAUAAAAAAGAAAUAGAAAGAUGGUUGUUUAUUCUCUAAACUCCUCAACAAAAUGGUGUUGCAAAAAUGAGAAAUAAAACUCUACUAGAAAUUGUUAGAUCCAUGAUAGCACAUACUAACUUGUCUAUCACCUUUUGAGUUGAUGCUUUAUUAAUUCAUUUUAUAUACUUAAUCAUGUGUCUUUCAAAUCAAUUACUUACACUCCAUGGAGUUAUGGACAGAUAGAAAACUAGACUUAAGUUUUCUUAAACCGUGGAAUUGUGCUACCUAUAUUAUCAUGAACCUUCUCACAAGUAUGGGAAAUUGGAUCCCAUAGAUAAGAAGCGUAUUUUCAUAAGAUACUUAGAACACUUUAAAUGGUAUGUAUUUAUAGGUGAACGGAAAAGUGGGAGUAUAACUAAAUUUUAAUCACGACGUGUGUCACACUCCUGCCCCACCUCUGGUACGAGAGUGUGACCCAGAGGGUCAACAUCGACGUCCCAUGCAUGAAUCAUCCUAAAAAUAUUUUAUCUUUGAUUAAGCAUAUACAUACGCGAAUUAAAAACAAUUCCCAUACACAAACAAACAUGGAAGUCGGGCAACAUGUAUACAAGCUAAGCAAACAAAAGCAACAUAUAUUCAUACAUAUAUACACUUACCAAAGUUAUUAUGAUUACAUGUCCAUCUUAGUCUUGGGCUACUUAUCUUUAUUACCACACAUCGACGAUUGAAAGGCCGGGGUAGCCUAGCUCCUCUAUUGAGCUCCUCCAAAAAUGACCCCCAUCCUAGGCCCUCUUCUACAAUGCUCUCGUAGGAUCCAAUAGAAGGAUGAGGCCACGAUGGGACCUAAAACGUCCCCAUAAAAAAAUGAGGCACCAAGCCUCAUACACAUGGAGAAUCAAUGUGUUUACCCAUUCUCGAACUCAUAUAGUGGUAAUAUACUUCCGGUAGGUGACAUCCUGUUCUAAAUCUAUUAUAUUCAUCACAGUAGUAACCAUAUCAAUCAGAAGACCGGGACAGACCGACAGUAGGGUUGAUUCACCCAUCCCACACCUAAAAUGGUGAAAACAACAAAAGUGAGUCGUUGACUCAGUAAGUAGAAAUCCCUAAUUCUCCUAUAGGAGGAUGUCUCACCAUCAAUCCUCGGAUACAAGAUCACUACCCACUUGUCGAUGGUAAAUCAAUAGCAAGGUUCGUGCUUUGCCUUAAUUAUGCAUAUGAAGGGCUUUCAAUCAGCUAUGUAUUUUCAAGCAUCAAAGACAGGAAGUUAGUGCAUAAAAACAAGCCUUCCAAAUAUCUCUGGCUUAUGAUCAUUCCAGUCACUAAGAGGGAUGCGUGCAUUACAUAAAACUCAUUCAAGCACUAAGUGACCCGAUGCAAACAUAUGCUUGAAUUGAUGCAAUGACUCAACAAUACAUAUCAAACAAAUCUAGUUUUUGCAAGCCUCAAUUCUGGUAUCACUGCAAGCAUCAAUUCAAGCAUCACACAUGCAUUAGUCAUGGACCAUAUGUGGACUUCUAGUUUCUUUCAGUCUGCUCAGUUAGUCGAAAUCCAUCGACUCUUCCGAUAUCAAUCGGGCAUGUGUCCCUUGCUUGAUAAACGUCAUCAUCCCGAUCUCAUUAUCAAGACGGCAUCCAAGGCGACCCCUAGCCAUUGGCCUCACUUGGGCCGGCAUCAUCCACGAUCUCAAUAUUGGGACAACAUCUGAGGCUUUACCCCAAGCAACAACCCGACAUACCCCAGCGUCAGCGAUAAAAGUCCAUUGUGUGUCCAUGCGUUCAAGUAUCAAUCAAUCCAUUUUGUUAUCUUGAAUCAUUAGCCAAAUGAAAGGCCCAAAGGCGUGCCAUACAAACUGAAUCAAUGACUUUUGUGCUCUAUUACUAGACUCAUGCUAGACGCAAUUCCAGCUCAUGAUCUUGACUCGGAAUCAUUCGCUUUGGCUUCGGUAUCGACCGUGACUUGUCUCGAGUAACAACAUGUUUCAAUGUGGUCUCGAAAUCAAGUGUGGGUUGUGCAUGCACCUCGGCACACGUCCAAAGUCACAUGAGACAUUUCCUUGACAUCCGAGCGUGCUUGACAUCCAUGCAAGAACAUGAAUUUACUCGAUGCAACAACAAACAAAUAGAAACACAACAAGCAUCACCAUAUAAAGCCAACACAAGAAAAUGAUGACAUGAUCCUAAAAUCGAUAUGCAUAGUACAUCGCCUUAUCAAAGAGUUAGGAAAGUCUACUUACAACUUUUGAACCUAGCUCCAUGAUGCUCCUUUGGUGACUGGACGGCUCCCAAGACAGUUUGGUGAGGAAGGCAUGAAAGAGAAGAGAGAAAGGGAGAGGAAAUGAGAGAAUGACUUAUCCUUAAAGUGUGAGGAUACAUUCUCCUAUUUAUAGGUCUCGUCCUUUUAGUUUUUUAUGCAAACUCAUGAUGAUGCCUAAAUGACGAGUUGGCCUACCUAUCUUCUUGAGUUGGCACCUAGGUCCUUUGGUGUUAGCUUGUGAUUGGUUCACCUAUUUACUUGCUCUCCAAGGCUCACUUUAGGUUCGUUAUUCCCGAUGGCGCCUAAGGGACACAUAAGUCUUUUGAUGCAUCAUGUCCUCUUCUAAUUGGCUAGUUCUUGACUUGUUCACCAAGGCUAUAAUCUAGGGCCAUCAUACCCAAAGAUUUACCUAAGAUUCUAGAGGACACAUAAGUAAUUGAUUCAUCCAUGCUAUUAAUAAACUAAAGUCCAAAAUCAUUAAAUGAGGCCUAGAUAUUUUUAUAAACCUACUUGAGAAGCAAGUUUUCUCCCCCCCCCCCCCCCCAAUUGACAUGUGGCAUAUAAUGGAUAAGGAUAGACUAUAGUCAAAGGUUAUAGAAGAUUCUAGAACCUCAAUUACCUCUUGACACUUGUCCAAUAAUUUAUCUCCACAUUAAUUGAUUUGUGUUAAAAUAUCAUCCAAGGCAAUCAUGAGAGUAACAUAGGGUGUUGCCUAAUUGAUGAAGUCAUUCAAAUUUGUACGCAAUCAACAGUUCUAUGAGAAUCGAGGUUCAUGCCAAAAUUUACUAAACUUUAACCAAAUGAGUGUGACUAAGUCAAUAGCCUUCUUAAAUUUACCCAUGACUAUUUUCAAUUAGAAUUGGUUCAUUUGAUGUCUUAAAAUAAACAUCGUGAUUGGUCUUGGUUAUUUACCCUCCCCGGGUCUCCAUUAAGUGGACUAGGUCCAUGGUCAAACAUGUCAUGCCUUGAUCCAUCUAAGUUUUAUGUCAUUGAUUCCCAUGAUCGACCUUUCUACCUUAUUCUUAUGGUCUGGAAUCGAGGAUGUUGCAAGUUGUCACAUUCUUAGAGAUUAAAUUUCCUAAAAGUGGCAAAAUAGGUUAUGACUACUUCCUAUUUGAAACCUUGGAUCAAAAUAAUUAAUUUAAUAGAGUUCAUCCAAGUAAGAGUAAUAUGAAAAGUGAUGAAUUAAAUUUGACUUAUUCUCGAUUACAACUGUGACAUUCUAGAUUUCCAGUCAUGUUUUCUACUGAAUAAAUCAGACAUUUCAUUGACGCGUCUACAUGACUGUUCUCAAAACUGAUCAUUCUAAAGAUAACUAGACUAUUUGGGGAAACCAUUAAGAAUUUUAAGGCAAAUAAACUUGAGAAUUCGACCAAGAAUCGGCUACUCGACCGUUCUCAUCUUUAGAGGUCAUUCUGGCACAGAUAUAAAUCAAUUUGAGAUUAGAGAUAGGUUGGUUCGACUGAGAUGUGUAGCUAAUCAUGAGUGACACUACUAAAUUGGAAAAUUCUCGUCGACCGGCACUAGACUGAUUUUAUUAUUGUUUUGAUACCCUGUGUUCAUAUUUGAAUCCUCGAGAUUUUCACGACAAUCGAAAGUCGCCAAUGAGUCGAGUGGAUUCAUAGUGGCUUGAAGAAAAUCGACCACGAGUCAUUUGCACUAAAAAAUUUAUGAGAGUUACUCGAUAGCGCAGGUCACACUAAAAACGCGUCGCAUGGAAAUUAACCAUAAAUUCGAGUCCGAUUCCAGAAAUUGAAGAUUCUGUCAUAUCACAAUAAAUUAUAGAAACGCCGACUCAAUCUCAGAAGAUUUUUCAGAGAUUUUGAGAUUUUUACGGAAAAUCGUACGGACGUCGCGGAAAAUUAACGGAAAUUCGUAUGGGCCAAAUUUAAGCGAGUUUUGACUUUCAAUCCGAGCCUUUGAGUGUAAGGGAAUUAUAGAAAAUUGUUCGGGAUUUUUCUUCAUCGAAAUUGAACCUCAAUUUGGGAAAAUGAGUGAGGAAAUUGAUCCUAAAAUUGGGAAAGUCGGAGUUAUGGUUGAGGGCUACAAAUUUUGGCUUCAAAGUUGAUUAAUGGUGGAAUUAUUCUUCUAAAAAGAAUUAGGGGACAAGAGGGAUUAGAUUGAGAGCUUGUGGGACCAAGUCAUUCAAUGUAUUGGCUAUGGAUUGAGACUUUUGUUCCCUCACAGCUGGCUUCUCCCUCACGCACGGCUCCCCCUCCAUCUUCCUCCUCACGCGAGCAAUUUCCCUUUUAUUUUGCUUUCAUUUCUCCCACCGAACUUGCUGCCUUUUUCUCUUUGAUUUUCCUUUCUGUUUUGGCCAUCGUUUUUCUUUCUCUGUGAACAGCCCACACCGCACCGAGAAUUCUCCUUUGCUUGGCCACGCGUCCACGAGCUGCCCAUCCUUGGUCAACUAAAGAAGUUCUUCACCACCAAUGUUGACCUCUCCAUUCACCGAAGCUCUGCCCAUCCACCGAAGUUGCUCAUGCCAUCAUCAUCAUCAUCAUCCCAUCUCUAUUCUCCUCUUCACCGUUUGCCACCCCCACGCCAACACACCACCAACGAACUCAUCCCAUCUUCUCCAAUAUUAUUUGUCUCUUUGGUCAACAUGCAAAUUCACCGAGGCUUUUGUUGACCGAAGCUCACGUGGCCUCACGCUAGCAAACCACCGAAGCAUCGCCCGCGCACUUCCCAACUCUUGCUGAAGCCGCGCUAGCCCACUUCUCGGUCAGCUCCAGCAGCAGCAACGACGCCGCAUGGUCUUCUCCAGCUCACGUGAUUUCAGUCUCCUUCGACCGAAGCGGCAGUCUUCACGUUGUGGCCCUUUCGUCUCAGCCCAACAAUUGGGCGCUUGAGGCCGUGAGCUUCACCAGCAGAAAGCCCACAAAUUUUACUUGAAGUCAGGCCCAUAUCUACAGCAUUUCGGCCCAGCAUUUCCAUCAAGUUCAGCCCAUUUGAAGCUCAGCCCAUUCUUGAAGCCCAAAAGUCCAGCAGAGUUUCAGCCCGUGAAGCCCAGCAGUCUUCAGCCCAUCUUCAGCAGGCCCAACUCAACUUGGGUCCAGCCCAAAAUCAAGAACAAAUCUCAGUUGGGCUGAGAUUUGUUGGGCCAAGUUUAGGCCCGGUCCAAGCUCGUGGGUGUAAUCGGAGCCCAAAUUCGGCCGCCGUCGCGUCGUCGUCAUAGUGAUCCACUCUUCGCAAAUCAAGUGAGUUUUACUCACUAAUGCUUUCUUAAUUUGCUAAUUAUGCUUAAGGGUUAGGUUAGAUUUAAUUAAGUUCAAUUAGGUGGUUAGAUUAGUUUUGAACAAUUAAAUUAGUGACUUAAUGAUGCAUGUUAGGUGGUUAGACAUAGUCAUUAGCAAGUAGAAAGCUACUAAUAUUUAUGGAAUGUAUCUCGGGAUUUUUCCCAACCUGUUUCGGGCUUCAAUCAAGCAUUACGGGACUAAAUUGGAUUUUUUGUAUUUAGUUGUUAAUGUUUGAAAUUAAUUUAAUUAAUUCUUUAUUUAUUCGGAAAUUAGGCAGAGAUAGCCAACGGCCAAAAUUUUGUGUUGAUUGUCGUGGUGCAGUUCAUUUAUUUAAUUGAGCUCUAUUUCAUGCUAAGCUGAAUUAUUUGUAAAAGUGGAAAUUAUUCUUUAAUUGGAUAAUCAUUGGUUAUUAAUUGAAAAAUAACCAGGUGUCGGUUGACAGUACCAAAACUGUAUUGGUGGGCUACAGAAAUGGUGGGAUUUAUAGAAAGGAAAUCAUCAUAUUUUGGCUAAAGCCGACCGUGUACCCACACACGACAUUUUAUCGGAAGGGAUAAUAAUGGUUAUUAGAUUGUUUGCUUGGAAUGGCAUAUAUAUUGGCUCGAUGACUCUACGGAGCAUCUUGAGACAGGACGGUAUGAUCUACCGGCUCGGUGAGUCUACAGGUUAUCUUGAGAUAGUACGGUAUGAUAAACCGACUCGAUAAUUCUACUGAUCAUUUUGAGAUAGUACUGUAUGAUCAAUUGUGUGUAUACCGGCUUAGUGACUCUAUAUGUCAUCUUGAGAUAGUAUGGUAUGAUCUACUGACUCGGUGACUCUACAGAUUAUCUUGAGACAGUACAAUAUGACUUGGAUGUUGAUCAGACUUAUAGACAGUAUGGAAUGGGCCGACCAAGAAAUGGUCGUGAUGACAUGUAAUCGACUAGGUCGAUUGAUUGAGACAUCGAUAUGUGAUGUGAUUGCUUGGGUGCCUAUUGAAUUGUGCUAAUAUGCAGGUGGAAUCUAAGGCUAAGGUAAGUCCUCUGACCUGUGCUUGCAUAGGCAACCCGGACAACAUAUUAGUUUACUAAUCGCGUCUUAGGGGGUAGAACUUGUUGAGACGUAGUCUCAUCCCGAUUAUGGGACAACAUUUCAAGAUCCUGAUGAGGAGCUUGAGGAGAAAGAACCCGAAGAGGAGUACCUGGAGGAGAACCUCGAUAAUGAUCCCGAGUACGACCAGGAUGAGGACUGAGAUCCCACCCUCUUUUGCGAACGCUGCUUAGAGGUGGUUGAGUGUGAGACUAGACCUUUGUUAAUAGUAUGGUAAAAUACUUUGAGGUGUGGUUGUAUAAAAGUUUGGUUGUGAAUUUCUAUAUGAAAAAUAUGGCCCUACUUUUCUAUCACAUUUCUUUAUUGUCUGGGGAUUAUAAUUGCUUCCACAUGUGCAUAUUAAAAAGAAAAGGGUCGGCGAUGCGUCCUGGGAUAUCAUAUUUAAAAUCGACCAAAGAUGAAGGGUGGGCACGUGACCGAGGAUCGGGGCAUGACAACAACCACCUACUGAGAUGAUAUUAUCAUUAUCUAAUUUGAGUGUGAGCAUAAUGGACAAUAAUGUGCAAGGUAUACAAUCUCCAUACGACGAACAAGUUGCAAAAGUAUUUCUCGUCGACGUUUUGACAUUAAAGGAGAAACUUUUAUGGUUGCUCUACAGGAUGAAGUUGAGCCAAUGAAUGUAAAUGAUACUCUAAAUUACCUUAACAAGGAAAAAUGGAUGCAUGCAAUGGAAGAGGAAAUGGAAUCAAUGAAGUCAAACUAAGUUUGGGAAAUGGUUGAUCUUCCAAAAGGAGGCGAAGCCAUUGGGAAGAAGUGGGUUCUCAAAAUAAAGCGUAAAGCCGAUGGCUCGAUAGAGAGACACGAGGCUCGUAUUAUGGUAAAAAGGAUAUAAUCAACAAUAAUGAAUUGAUUAUGAGGAAAUGUUUUCUCUUAUAAUGAGAUUUAUCUCAAUUCAUUUUAUUAUGACAAUCAUAGCUAAUAUGGAUCUUGAACUACAUUAAAUGGAUAUAAAGACUGUUUUUCUCAAUGGAGAAUUAAAAGAAGAAAUUUAUAUGGAACAAUUCAUUGAUUUCAUUUUGAAAAGCCAAUAACAAAAGGUAUGUCGACUUUUGAGAUCAAUAUAUGACCUUAAGCAGUCAUCGAGACAAUAUUAUAUAACUUUUCAUUAUACCAUAAUGGUAUAUGAUUUUACAAUGAUUGAUGAAGAUUAUUGUGUGUGUGUGUGUGUGUGUGUGUGUGUGUGUGUGCAUAUUAAAAGAUGUAAAGAUCAAUUUGUGAUCAUAUCAUUAUAUGUUAAUGAUAUACUGAUUGAUGAGGACAGUGGUGGACGGAUUUGGAUCUGGAAUCAAACUUUAGAGAACUGAUGGACAUGAAACUUCGGCAAAUCACUUGAUGAUCGACUUGGGGACUAGGGACGAUGACUGAACGACAAUGGGGGCGUCCUCUCUCCUCUACUGUCUAGAAGAGAAGCGCGCUAUGGUGGCUACCAUGCUCUGAUACCAUGUUGGAAGAGAGUAUUCUACGUAUUGUAUUCUCUUAAUCAAAAAAGGAUUACAAGAAUACAUACAAUAUAUAUGAGUUACCCUCUCAACAUAAGAUUAAGUAUUGACUAUUUUACCCUUAUUAUUAUUUCCUAAUGGGAUGUACAUGUGAGUAAGUUGUUUUAUAGAAAUUGCACAUUGGAGAAUUGAUGUGAGGUAGGGCAAUUAAUAUAUCCUAGUUAGUUCAUAGCUCAUUGACUUAAUUUUUUUUUAAUGAAGGUGAGUUCAACUGAUUAUAUUGACCAGCAAGGAUUCGGGCUCCCUCUUGAUAAUCUCCUCAGGUGAAGAUAUCAGACUUCUACUACAUGCUCCCAACAAUCCGCGCUAAGCCCAACACCUUUCACUGUCACGCUUGUCAAGCUGAGACCCUCCCUGUCACCAAGACACCAGCUGACACUGACCCCACAUGGCUAAGAUCACAAUGACCUUGCCUCUUCUCAUUGAGAUCUGUACUUUUAGCCCAUGGUCAGCUCCUUCCAAUAGUGAGCCACAAAGAAGCUUGCUCUAAUGACAUAGCCAUUGUUCGAGAUCUCCAUUGUCCAGGUUUUCUCAAUAUACCAAUAAACCUACAGUUUCAAGCAUAGUAGAGAAGGACCUAUGAACGAAGAAAGGAUCUUGUCACCUUGGCACACUAAAAGAGGAGGAGAUGCAAGAACACUCUCAUACAUACUAAGAGUUCUUCAAUACAUAUUACAUAGAGAGUGGCCGGAACAAGAGACAAGCACUUUCGCGAAAGGUCCUCAAUCGAGAGAACGGCUCCCAUACUAUAACUCUCAUAUGUUCAAAGUAGAGUUGGAUGCAAAUUGGUUGCAAGGACACCGCUUUCACGAAUUAUUUGUCGUCACUUCAUCAUGGUUGUUGCUACUGGUUUUCCUUGUUAUAUUAUUAUACCAUUGUUCGUCAAUACUCAAACACUAGCCCAAUCACCCAACUAGCCAAGCUUUAAGCCAUACUAAGCCAUUGCGAGCAUUGCCACUGCCAUCAUUGUGCCAACCCACAAGCUGCCUACACCCGUUGAAUCCCGCGCCUCACAAUUCCGGUCCAAUUAUGUUGAGUUCCAACUUGGAAAGUCAAUUCUUCAAAUUAGGUAAUUUUCUUAUCCUUAACUAAUUUGGAAUAUUUACAUGCCUAUUUUGAAUAAUUGCUAAUUUUUGUCAAAUAUCCAAUCAAAUAUGCAUAUCCACAAAAUCCAAAAUAUCACCCUAAGUUAGGAAACUUUACUAACUUAAUAAUAUGCUUGGAUGGUAAUUUAUUCUCCAACUAUGAAGUACGAUAUCCGAAGACAUGUGAAAUCUUUCAUCCUAUCCAAAACUAUUUAGAUACGAUCAUUGAUUUACCCAUUUCCAAUUCAAAUGGAAAACCUUCCAUCAAUAUCUUUAACUACUUGGAUAUGAUCAUUGGUUUAUUUUGUUUUCAAAUUUAAAUAAAUAAAAUAAAUUUUGUGGAUUGCAUUAUUUGAUGGAAUAGCUAUCCCAUUGCUUGAUUGUUUCCCAAAAAAAAAAAAAAAAAAUCCAAAAAAACGCAGAUAGAAUUUGAUUUGAUUUUUGUUAAUAACAUUGCCAGUUUUAGAUGAGAUUGCAUGUUAAAUUAUGUAACUUCUUUAUUUCAAAAUUUUAAAAUAGAAAAAACAAUAGUAUUUCUUUAGAAUAAAUUAGGUUUCCUUUUUUGAAUUCAAAAUCACAUGUUUAAUAUUGGGUAUUUUUUAUUACGAUUAAUUAAAAACACAAAAAGAAAUUACAUGCAUGUCAUGUAGAAUUAAAUUUACUAAUUAUACAUUAUUUACCAAUUACAUUUUUAGGGUCAUUAAAUUAAAAUGAGUGGCAUGCUAGAAUAGUUAUAUCAAUUAUAGACAUUUUAAUAUAGACAUUAUGUAUGUUGUUGCACCUAGAAUAGUUGCAUUGCAUUAUGCAUAAUUUAGAUUUUGUUAAAUAAGUGAAACCCCAAAAAUUGAGUGAUUAUCUGUUAAUUAGAAAUUAUAUAUAGGAUUAUUGAUUUGAUUUUUAAACUAAUAUCACACAUGCUUUCGUUUUUUUUUGGUUAAGUAUCACACAUGCUUUCGUUGCUAUAAGUUGCUAUAAGGAAAGUCAUGCAAUUUAUUUAUUUCUUUGUUUGGGUGUUACUUUGGGGUAAUAAAUUGAGUUCAAACCACAUGCUAAACAUCUUUUCAUAAAGAGAACAUUACUUAAAAUGUAUUAAAGAAAUCUAGUGUAAUCAAGUUCAUAUACCCAAGAUCUCUAGUUCGCAAGAGUAAAAUAUUUCUCUCAAUACUUUACAUGAAUUUUUAAUGAACUCACCAUAAACUACUUAGUGGCGACUCCUUAUUUAAAAUCAUUUACAUGCUAAGAACUUGAAUCCUAAGUUGCAAAUUGGUACGAGUUUAAGAGAGUCUAAGUUAAAUUUAGGCUUAAUAUUCCAUUAGCCGAACCCCUAGGUGGUGCACCAUGAGGGUAGAUCGCAACACUCACCAAACAUCAUAUGAUGUGUACAAAGAAUUUUUUUUUUUUUUUUUUUUUUGAGGAUUGUAACACUUGGAGGCACCUUGAUUAAGAAAGUAUCUAAGAAAAAUACAAGGUUUUUGUCGACAUUCAAGUUUGUGCUUACCAUAUGGUUUAAGCUAGGGAUAACAUAGGCAACCAAAAGCUCGAAAUUUCGAGGAGAGUCUCAACAGGAGAUAUAAAGAUUGAAGACCAGUGUAGGUAGAGAUUUAUUAGAAAUGUGGCGGCUUGAAAAGUGUAGGACCAACACAAGGAUGGAAGAGAUACUUAAUGAAGUAAUGUAAGACAUGUUUUGAUGACAUGUCUAUGACAAUGCUCAGCAAUCCCAUUAUGUUGAGGUGUAUUUGGAGGUGUUUGUAAAUGUGUAAUCUCAUGAGACUAGAAGAAUCCUUUUAGUUUUGAUAUUCUCUACCACCAUUAGAGUAAAUUAAUACAAGGGACUUUAGAAGUAAUUUUCCACGAAUUUCUUGAAUUUUGGAAAUAGAGAGAAAAGGUCAGAUUUUUGUUUGAUUGAGUAGAGCAAGAUGUAUAUGGUAUAGUGAUCCAUAAAAAUAACAUAAUAGGAAAAGUCAUCUAUUAUUUUCACUGAAAUGGGACCCAAAACAUCAUUGUAAAUGAGUUCAAGAGGUCGUUGGAUAGACUACGUAGGAGUACCAAAUAGAAGUUACUAGAUUGACAUAACUUGUACAAAAGUCUAAUGUGACUUGGAAAUAGAAGGAAUUGACUUCAAUUUUGAAAGAAACUCUAAGAUUUGAUGAAAGCAAUGACCAUGACGUCAAUGCCAAUCACUAGAGGAUGCACAUACACCAAUCAUAGUGAAGGGUGGCAUAUGAGUCACAUGGAGUGAAGAUGGAAGUUCAUAAGCAUCAUUGUUAUUCAGGCCUUGAAGGAGAUUUGCCCUUGUGCACAAAUCCUUCACCAAAAGGUGGUCGGGAAAAUUUAAAACAUAUAUUAAGUGUUUACUAAUAUCAAGGACACAAAAAAUAUCAGACAAUGAAUAUGAAACUGGGGGGUGGGGGCAAGGUGGGGCAGGAAAGUUUUGUUGAAUAUAUGUGUCUUAUUUGCAAAAUUUAGCCAUCGCCAUAACAAUUUUGUUUGUUCCUUUUUAAUUUGGAUGCAAAGAGAGAUUUUCUAGAUUUGAAGUCACAUAAUGAGAUGCUCCAGAGUGCAUGAGCCAUCCCUGCUCUGCUUGACGAGAUAACACUAUAUUAUUUUUGCACUAGGAGGAGAGAAGAAAUAUUGUUGGCCUGAUAACAUUGCUUGGUUGAGUGACUUACUUGUUCACAUAGUUGGGAUAGGAUUCAUGCUUUUUGAAUGGGUUGGUUAUGAUCAUAAUUUUUUCUCCUUUGCCAAUGAAAUUGUCAAGUUCACUAGGAGUUCAAACCUCGAUUUGAAAUGGAGUGCUGGUUGGUUUUCCUAUGAGAGACUUUCUUGCAAAUUUUGUACUUUUAAGAUAUUGUUUGAAGUCAACAAAUUUAUCAAAGUUCCUCAAAGGAAAUGGGUGAUUUAUGUGCUCUAAUGGCGAUAGAAAUUUCCUUGAAUUCAGAGUUAAGCCCAUUCAAAAUAUGUGUUGUUAAAUCAUCAUCAUGAAUGGGAGAAUUGAUGAUGGCAAGUUCAUCAGCAAUUCCUUUGAUGACUUGUAUAUACUUAGCCACUGAUCCAGUGACGCAUUUUGUGAGGAUUAAACACUCCAUGAGACUCAUGACAAAGCAAUGUGAAAGAUUGUUCCAAGCCUCAAGUGCUAUUUUGGCAGAUGCAAUUAGAGUCUGAAGUGGAAGCCAUGAUUGCUUGGAGCAAUAGUUGAUCUUGGCGUACCCAAUGCAAAUAAGAUGGAUUGGCAAUAGUUUUGCUAUCAAUAGUAGGUGUUAGACGAACAUAAUAUCAUUCCAUCUACAUACCCCAGUAAAUCAUAGCCUAGGAGCAAAAAGUAAUAUUGAACCAACCAGGAAGGAUUAAUCAUUGACGUUAACUUGUUGGGUAGUUGCAUAGUUGCAUUGAUAGACACAAGCAUGGUGGCGUUAUUUGAAGAGGGGUCAUUGACUAUCAUAGGAGAGCUAGUGUUUGAGGAUCCUCCCACCAUUGAAAAAAAAAAUUAAAUGAUAUGCUUGUGAGCAGCAAGCUCUGAUACAAAAAAGAAUUGGACAAAAUGCUCUUUUCUAUUAUUUCUUACAUGUAAUUAAGUUACAAAAUAACUAAUGGUUUAUAGAAAGACAUCGGCUAGAAUAACUGCAGUACAACAACUUUCCUAACUACAGCCUUUAUAAAUGCAAAGAUAAAAUCAUCUAUACAAAGGAAAGAUAAAAUGAGUUUGUUAGUUGUGAACACUCUCACUACACUUGCUAAGAGUACAAGAAUUGCUUAAUUGGUCUUCAUCUAAUUGAGAGUAAUAUUUUGAAUUACUUUGCUAUUUAGAGAUAUUUUCUCCAAUAUAGCCAAGAUUUAGCAAGAAAUUUAGGGUGCAUUUGUUUUAGUGAAAGUGUCUUCCAGGAACAUUAGUUUAGACUUUCUCCCAUUUGGUUCCAUGAAAAUGACAAGUCAAUCAAAACUACUUUCCAGUUAAUGAUGAGAUCUAUACAUAAAAUUAGGAAAGUGAAUUCCUAAAUCUAAAGAGGUGAAAACACUUUUUGAAAAUUGCUCAUCUUGAUUUAUUAUUAUUUAUUAUUUUAUUAUUUUUUCUUUUUUUCUGUCUUUUAUUUUUUCCUUCUUCAUCUGCUGGUUGUCAGGCCUUAGCCGUGGUUGACAAUAGGCCACAAGCGGGGGCUGGUAACCUCGCCAAAAUCUGGUGCGCUCAAGCUCACUAGCCUUAGGUGAGCUCCAACCUCACCAAGAUCUGGCGAGGCUCAACCUCAUUGACCUGCUCCUGUGACUGGUUACCAAGGACUAAUAAUCGGCGGAGGAAGAAGUUAAAAGAAAGAAAUGAAAAAAAAUAAAUAUAUAUAUUUAAAAAUUCAAAUUUAUAUUGUCUAGUAUAUCAUGAGAUCGAAAUCAUUUUUUAAAUAUGAUCCAAAUACCCAAAAAAGAAAAAAAUAGUCACAUAUUAGCAAACAAAGAAAAACUAAUGAUUCCUAAAAAUAAUUUUUAGAAAGCAUAUUCUUUAUAUCAUUAAAGUUUUCAUAAAAUAAAUGCACCCUAAUUUUUCUCAAACUCGAUAAUACGAGCUUGCAACCAAACUGGAAGUUAAAGAGGCAAAAUGAAAUCAAUGAGUUGGACUUGUGAUUUGAUCCGUCUUGACUUAUCAUGCUCUUUUUGGGGUUAAACAUAUCCGGGGAAAUUGUCAUGAUUGGGCCAGCAAUGUAUUCAUGCAGGGACGCCCUUGGCUUGAUUCACUAGUGAUUCUUCAUAAGAAGUUUUUAAGACAUUGUACCAUGAGAAACCGUCAAGAAUACGUGAGAAGAACACGAAGUGCUCGAGCCUCGCCGACCGUUGUGCUGCAUAGAGUAUCUGAGAUAUGGCAAUGUCAAAAGGUGAGUGCAGUCUUCUUCAGAAAAGUACUAAAACAUUUCCAAAUCUAUUAAAAUUAAGUCAAUUCGGUCAUAAACUUUUUUAUUAUACCAACUUAGUUCUAAACAUUUUCACAAUUCACCAAUUGAGUCUUUUUCACCUAUUUUGGUCAAAAAUCAUUGACAUGGACAUCGAUUGUUUUAUGUAACACGACCAGCACUUAUAUAGACAAUUUUAACCAUUUUUUUUAAAAUGAAUUUUUUGUGACUUUCUUUAUUUCUUUUCAUUUUGGCUUAGUAAGAGCUAGCAAGCUCUCUUCAAACACUAAUGAGGGUCAUAGCCCUCACCUAGGCCCAUACCAAAUUUGGGUGAGGGUCACCUCGCCCAUGGUCGACAGGGCUACUCGCCCAUGGCCGGCAAGGCCAUCGAGGGCCUUCACACCCUCUCUUGUAGCCUGUUAGGCUGCCACUGGCUCUAGAUGAGGGUCAUAGCCCUCGCCAGCCAAAAUGAAAGGAAAAAAAGAAAGAAAGAAAGAAAAACUAAUAAAAAAAUCUUAUUAACAGAAUGUUCAUGUCAGUAUUGGCUAUGGUACAUAGGAUAAGCAUCAUUCACGUCAACAAUUUUUUGCCAAAAUUGCCUAUUAGCACUAGAUUAGUACAAUUAAAAGAUUUUGGAUUGAAUUGACAUAAUUGCAAUAGGUUUAAAAAAUUUUGGUACUUUUCCCUAUUUCACAUGUUAGUGGCUUAGGUUAAUGAAAUUAAUGAAGAAUGCAUGCAAAUGCUUUUAUAGAAAGAAAGGUACCAAGAGGGCAUUUCACAUGCCCAUAAAUGAUUGACGGCUCCAAAGUGAUUAUAAUGCAUGAUUGAAUUUGAGAAUCCAAGUUGCAAUUAGUAAGGGCUUGGGAGAGUUCGCAUUAAGCAUGAGCAUCAUGUGACUUUGUUCUAGUUUCACAAUUCAUUAGCUUUUUCCUUUUUGAUUCAUCUGGGCAACAUAUUUUUGGUUGUCCAUACUUCUUAACAUGUCUUAUCCUAAAUUAUAGAUGUUUAAAGUAUGCAAUUAUGUAGUAGUGGUCCCUAGUCUUACCUUUCCCUUUCAGAAUAGAGACAACUACUUUUGCAAGCUUAUCAUUGACAAUAAAGUUAAAAGUAAUUAAUUCAAUUUGAUUUACAGCUGAUCAUCUAUUUUGAAUAGCCUCACCAUCUCGAAAAAUAAUUUGGUGCUUCGCCUUGAUAUUGCUAGUAUAAGUACCUAGAGGGGGGUGAAUAGGUGCCUAAACAAUUUAUCGAUAUACGGAAGCGAUUCUUAACAUAUGAUAGAAAGUAAAUUCUCUCUUAAUUAACAAAAUGAAAUACGAUUGAGGUAGAGAGAGUGAGGAAGAGAAAAUUGAACACAGGAUUUAUAGUGGUUCGGCUUAUUCCAAGCCUACGUCCACUCUUCCGCACUGACAGCCCACCGGCUGGAUUUCACUAUGAUCAAAAGAGAAGUUACAGCACAGCUUUGCCUUGAUUCCACAGUGUAGAUGUUUUACCACACCUCCUCAAGGUCUCUCACAAAUAUAGACUCUCUUUUGUAUACAAGUAUUCGCUCAAAGGAUUUAUCUAAACAAAUAGGAGCUUCAGACUUUGGAAUUCUUCUAUCGCGCACACCUCGAACAACUAAGAACGUCUUCCUUAUAUACUCCUUUAUGCCAUCAUACCCGUUGGCACUUACCAAAGGAAUUCCUCCAAUCUACCCGUUGGACAGAAUCAAUUAGGAAGAUUGUUCGAACUAUUAAAGGAACGUGUUGAUAGCCCAUCAAUCAUGUUCGCCCAUACAAUCAAGAUCUCGGUUUCCAUAAGUAGAACCUUCCAAUAAUAUUUAGACAAUCAUCGAAUCUUCAGUCAUUGAAUCAAUCUUGAUCAAUCAAAGGAUUCUUAUACGUCUUCUCCAACCACGAGAUCUUCUCCAGAUGAUAAGGUUAAAUCCUGAACAAAACAUCCAGUUCUGGAUAACCUUUCUUCAACGGAUUAGAGACUGUCAAUGAGGAUAGAUUUUGAGUCUUGAGUCUGGCUGUCCAGAAGUCUUCAGACUUUAACUAACAGAGUCUGCAGACCUUCAGACUAGACUGAUGGAAACGUUUUAUCAACUUCAAAACACUUCACGAAGAUUUCUCCAACACGCCUCUCCUCUUUUCCUCUUUGUAUGUGAGGGUAGAGAACGAACGCUCGCCUAGAAGAGAUGAGUUAUAUUGCAAGCUUUACUUGAAGCCUGAAGGGCAUUGAUCAUGCGUAUCCUUCAUCACGGUAGAGAGAUUUGGGUCAGUGAAAAGAGUUUUCAUGGUGUGCGAAGAUGACAAGGCCGUGGAGGUUGACUUUCAGAGAAGGAUGAUCGAUCGGAGUCCUUCCACGGCGGUGAAGUUGAUUGAAGAAGCCGAUCACAUGGCCAUGCUCUCCAAGCCUCACUAGCUUCGUCAAUGCUUCGAGGACAUUGCUAAGAAUUGCUAUUGAGGCACGGAGUACGAACUGAGCUGGAUCAAUUCGCACAUCGCACCAUUAACAAUUUGCCACAUCACUCUUUACUGUGCUGAUCCUGUGAACUAAACACCCCCGAUUGUAUCUCCUAAACUCUCCAAUGUGCUUACUUUUGCCCUUCUUAGCUCAAGUUUUUAUCAGAAUCUUGUCAUUUUCUCAAGUUAAAGGACUCGCAAACCAUUAAGUAGAUUCGUAAACAUGCUAAUUUUUUCUGCCAAAAGUGAAUGAGACAAUUACACUGGAAAAAAUCUACAUGGCAUUUUUUUAUUAAAGGUCACGUGGUUUUUAAAUAUAUAGAUAUAUAAAAGGUGACGGAACAUAUGUGUAAGAAUAUUUAUAAUCAUUAAUUAGUGAAAAUUCUUUAAAAUUAGCAUCGAUCCAGUCUUGCUGAGAUUCCCUGUUGCAAUUCCUUUUAUGUUAUCCAUGAAAGUUUUCGGAGGGCUAACGUUUUUUCAUUCAAGUUGUGGAGAAUACUGCUUUUUAGAACCAUGAGAGUUUACAUGAGUUAAAAGAACUUACGGGGAGUGAAUUCACAAGAAUGAUGAGUUAAAUCCAACAUGGCAUCUCACACAAGACUCUUCUGGCUGAUUUUUCAAUACCUCUUGAUGGCCUAUAAUCGGGUUUCAUGCAUCUAACGAAAAUUCGAAAACUUGCUGCACGACGAGUAGGUCUAUCAAAAUGAGUCUUAAACCUAUUUCCAACCCACUAGGCUCACGCAUACACUCUCUCUCUUCCUUUUUUUCCUUAUACAAAUAUUUAAAAAAAAUUGAAAUUAUAAUUAUUUUUCUACUAUUGUUUUUUUUUUUCUUUUUUUUCCUAUUUUUUCAUUUCUUCUUCCUUCUUCAAUCUUCUUUGGCCAAGGGCAAGCUUGAUCUCACCAGAUCUAGUGAGGUGGAGCCUCACUUGAGGUUGGCGAGGUUUGGCCCAUUAGAACCGGGCGAGAUUUAUGUGGUAGCAUACAUGCCUAGGCCAAAAACCCCGCCUGUGCUUCUCUUGCAAGAGGUGCAAUGGCCCUAAGAAGUCGAAUAUUUUUUGCGUUGUCCUAUAAGUGGCUCAAUUAAUUAGGAAAAAUUAAUUGCUUAACAUGGUAUCGUAAUGAAGUUAAUGACUUUGAUCCAUUUAUCCUUUACACAGGUUUAAAUUUAUUUGCAUGUGUGUUAAAUUAUUACUCGAAUUUAAGCAUUUGUAAAACCGCAAUUCGCUGGAUUCUUGAAAAUUUACAAAAGAGGAAAUAUUAAAUAAAUGGAAGCAAAGUUUCUUCUUUGCAGCGGAAUCCGAAACGUGAAAGUGAAGUCCUUCUGCACCUUUGGCGUGAAGAUGAAGUCCACUCGUGGAGACAAUUUGUGCUGGGCUGAGAUCAAACUUUGACUUGGGCACACACGUAUAAAAACAGAAUUUCUUUUGCAGGUCUUCUUUUCUCCCGUGAGAAGCCGCCGAAGUUCUCUGCACGUAAAAGCCAAGCGUAGGUGGGCCCACGUCAAACUUUGACCUGGGCACACGUAUAAAACAGAAAUAUUAUGUAGGUUUCUUUCCUUCGGUGAGUUGCUGUCGAAGCCCUACGAAGGCAGAACAGAAAGGAGCCGUAGGUCCACGCAAGCCACACGAAGCUUUCCAAAAGAAUGCAAAGAUUUACGUACGUAGAACGUUCAUUUGAAUUUGAACGCACGGUAAUUUUGUGCCAUGAAUUUAUAUCUAAGUGAGUUGUUUAUUUAUGAACACUUUGGAUUUGAGGUUAAAUCUAGGUGUGUGAAACACUUGAGCGUUUUGAACGAUUGUAAACUCUGAGUCUGCAAUUAUAGUAGAUUAUUUGCUGCUGGCUCUCCCCGUGAACGUAGGUACCGAUACUCAGACUAAAUCACGUAAAUUUCGGGUAUCCUUAUUACUACUCAUUUAUUUCUCUGGUGAUUUCGCGUUGACGUCAAUUGUAAGAUCCUGUUGUUUCCACAUAUUAUAUUCCAACAAUGUGAAGGAGCUUCGAAAGAUUUCAGACUCACGUAUCCAAUUUGCACUUUAAUGCCAUCUCCUCAUGGCUUGAGUUUAUUUAUUAAAAAAAAAGAAAAAAAAAAGAUUGCAUAUCGAUUAGAAAAGUACCUAUUAUGAGGAGCUUUGUGAUUAGUUCUCUGACUUUGAGAAAAUAUCUAUGACAAAAUCCAUGUUCAUCCGUCUUCUGCAGUCCCGGCGAUAGAAGUCCCUCAUACGCUUUUCUUUAAAUUAUUUCUUUAGAAAAAGCAAUCUGGAGCCGUCAUGUAGUAAAAAGUAUGACGGUGGGCAGAAGGACGAUUACAUGGCCGAGAAGCUGCACCAAAACUGUUUGGCAGAGGUGAGACUCGCACAUAACUGCUCUUCUCAUAAUAAUAGGCAACAAGGAAGCACAGACGACGUAUACUGAAGACCAGUGAGGUUGUCCAUGGAGGACAUAGCGAUGAGGAGAGAUAUGGGUCAGUGGAUCGAGUUUUGGUUCUGUGUGGAGAGGACAAAACCAUGCAAGUAGAGUUUCGGAGACGGAUGAUCGAUCAAAAUCCUCCCCAGGCGGUGAAGCUGAUCGGAGAAGCCGAUCACAUGGCCAUGCUCUCGAGGCCCCAUGAGCGUUGUCAAUGCUUUGAGGACAUUGCUAAGAAUUACUGUUGAGAAACAAAGUAUGAAGUACGUUGGUUCAAUUCGCAUUUCAAACCAUUAAAAUCUGCCACAUUACCGCUACUAUGCUAAUUCUAUGCAGUAAGUAAGACCAUCGUCUCUCGUAAACUCUACAAUAGCUUAAUUUUGCUUUUCUUAGCUCAAUUCUUGAUUUGAAUUUUGCCUCUACUCAUGUCAAUAAUCUCGCUAAUUAUUAAGCAGAUUCAUAAUAUGCUAAACUGUUUCCUUUUAUGCCAAAACAGAAUGGAAUGAUUGUUGGAAAAAUAUUAGAUAAUAUGAAAAAUAAUGAGAAUUGUUGAAAAUCUAUUGAAAAAGACAAUAAAAUAAGAUCAAUUGUCCGAGCUGUGUGAGCAUUGUCUUUAAGCAUAAUUCCACCCGUUGAAGCACAAAACUCAAUGUGCAAGGCUCUAGCGACUAUCCUCCCAAGAUAUAGCGAACAUUCUUCUAUACUUUGCACUCAAUAUUAGAAGGAAUAGGAACAAUAUUAUGUGUAUAACCCGGCUGUCGCGAUCGAAUUUUCGGGUGUGAACCACCUAAGGUUUGACUAAUGGAUUACUAAGCCUAAACUUAACUCGGCUCUCCCAAGCUCAUACCAAUUCGCGAAUUAGGUUCAAAUUUCUUAACAUGCAAAUGGAUUUUAUUUAUGAGUCGCCACUAAUCAGUUUAUGGUAAGUCGAUUAGACACCUGAGUAAAAUAAUGGGAGAAUUACUUUACUCCUACGAACCAAAGACUAAGGGUAUGGGGACUUGGUUACAUUAGAUUUCUCUAAUGUCUUUUCGGUACUAUUCUUUUUAUCUUCAAAAAUGUUUUUUUUUUUUUUGCAGGCAGCUAAUUUAUUUUAACCUAAAUUACUAUCAUGCAAAAAGUGAUCACACUGAUGCUCAAACAUUCAAUAAACAUUGAAUAAAAAGAUAAAUAAAUAAAUUGCAUCACACAAAGCAAGCAAUCAAUUUUAUUUUAUUUUUUGGUUUUCUUGAAAUUAGAAUUUUUUCAUAAAAACAUGCAUUUUAACUACAUGACCUAAACUAUAUGACAUGAAGAAAUGCAAUAAUUAAAUGCGAUAUAAAUGACCUAAUUCUAAUGACAUACAAUGCAAUGCAAUGACAUACAAAAUUAUUUCAACUAAAAUGACAUGUAACAUGCAAUUUAAUAUGCGAGCUAUAUGUCAUGCAACAUUUAUUAAUUGACAUAGUGUAAUGAUGAGCAAUUCAUAAUAUAAUGAACUUAACAGCAAUCAUUAAAUAACGUGCAUUUCAUAAACUUAAUUCUAUAUGACGUGCAUAUGAUUUUUUUAUCCUAUAAAUGCAAUCUAUUCUAAAUAAUGAAGUGAAUUUAAAAUGAAACUUGCAAUUUUAUCCUAAGAUGCCAUGACAUACAAAGAAUGCCCUAAUUCUACAUGAUAUAUGCAUGAUGAUUCUUUUGUAUUUUUAUUUUUAUAAAAAUUCGAAAUUAAAAUUAAUACAUAAUUAAACAUUCAAUCCAAAUAACAAACUAACAACCUAAAUGAAUGCGUUCUUUUGUUUUUUAUAUCUUUCUAAAUUCGAAAUAAAAUCCCUAUUCUAGAUAUGCAAGAUAACAAGAAAUAUUCCAAAACAAACUGAAUCCUAAUUCAAAUAUUUUUUUGGAUUUUUUUUUAUAUUUUUAGUGUUUUUCCAAGAUAAUCAACUAUAUCCAAGCAAUUAAGAUAUCCAUCAAAUAAUGAAUUAGAAUAAUAAAAAAAAAAUAACCUAUUGUCUCACGGGUCAAAUUAACAAUUACUUUAACCCUAAACAUCACGACAAAAAAUCAAAAUAAUUAAAAAUCUGAUCCAAAGUCUUACGGAUCAAAUUAAUAACUAUAAUGAUUUAACAAUUAAAAUAUCAUCAAAUGCCCAAAAAUUAAUAUAAUUAAAAAAAUGAUCCGACGUCUUACGGACCAAAUUAAUAAUUACAUAGUUUUAGGCAAAAACUUAAGGAUAAUGCCUAAACUAUAUAAAUAAUUUAAAUUGACAUCCCAUGUUCUAACUUAAGCAAAAAUGAUAGCACUUAAAAUAACUAGAUAAAUAAAUAAAAAUAAAAAGAUAAAAGGUAAAUCACCUGAAAAGGAAAUUGAAAAAAAAAAGGCAACGAUGGUGGACAGCGCCAGGCGGAGGAUGGUCGGCGUCAAAGCUCCGAUGAGGGCAUAGCAGGUGCAUGGUGAGGAGCUCCGACGAGGAGACUCGGAACGGAGGUGGUCGGGCGUCUGCUCGGGCUGCUGGAGGCCGACGAGGCUAUGCAGGCUGCCGGAUUUGAUGGUGUAGGGGAAGGUCCGCUGAGGUUGCAGGCUGCUGAUCAAUGACGGCAGGGACCUGUGCUCCGGAUCGCGAGCGAAGCGACGGCUUCGCGGCUAAGACGGCGUCGGAGGCAGAGCGAGGGCUGCGCGGCAGUUGCGGCUGGCUUCGGGGCAGCGUCAGAUUUGGGAAUCAAGGCGGAGGCGGUGCCGGGGUGGCGCGGAUCUAGAUCCGGCGAUGGCUGAGCUCGGGGCGGGGCCAAUGGCAUCAUGGCUGUGGCGCGCAGAGAUGGCUUUGCAGGCUACAGGCGAGGCGCAGCGAGGCUCGGCGUCAUGGUGGCGUGGGUCGUCGAGGCUCGCAGACAGAGACUAGCGGCUACAUCGGCGCGGGGAAGGCGGCUCAGUUGUGGCACGGCUCGGGCCUACUCGCGGAGGGUGGAGCGUCGGGGCUUCGGGUCAUCGAGGCAGGGGCGCUGACCGAGGUGGAGGCGCACGACGGAUCGGCGACUAGCUCCGGCGUCGAGACUGGUCGCCAUGGCAGGGAGUGGCUCGGCGUCAGGUCAUCACUGGAGAUGCGGCGUCGAAGCGGCGUUGGCGAUGGUUCGGUGGGCGGCCAACCAACCGGGGGGGGGGAGCAUCGAAGAAGAUGAUGAAUAGUGCUAGGAUUUCUCUCCUUUUUUUUUUGUUUUUUUUUCUCUCUCCUGCUGCACGUCCCUUCCUCUCUGCCCCUUCACUUUUCUGCAUAAGCUUUUUGCUUUUGACCUUUUCUCUUCUUUUUUUUCGAAGAAGAGAAACCUAGAAAAAGCCCCCCAAUCUCAACCUUUGUGCGCACCUUUUAUAGGCAAAGAUAAAUGUGAUAUUUGGAUGAUACUUCGUAUCUUUUUUAAUAUAGGCAAAGAUUAUUUAUAACCUCCCGAUCACAAAAAUCUUUUUAUUUUCCUUAUCUCCUUAAUAUUCCUAAUGAUCUUAUCACCUAAAGACUAAAUAUAAGAUUGCAACCCAAUUCCAAAAACCACCGUAAUAUCGCAUCAAAUCUCAAUUUCCCACGAGAUAAUUAAUUUUAAAAAACACCGGGCUUGGGCUAAUUUAUUCCUUUUGCGGGCCUAAUCUGACCUGCCAAGCUAGAGCUCAGAAAUAUUAAUUCACACCCCUCCACCAGCAGUCCUAAAAAAAUAAAAUGCAAAUAUGCAGACUAAAAAAUAAAUGCAUCUAAAUUUACAUGUUAUGCAAUUAAUAUUUUUUCAGCGAUAAAAUUACCCCUAAUUUUCUAUACAAUAAAUGACCGGCUCGCCGAAAUUUAGGUGUCAACAGCUACCCCUCUUUGAAGGUGAGCUCGUAGAGGUUGCUUUCGAAGACAAAUUAAGACCUAAAUUUUAACCACGCACACACACUGAAUGAUUUUUUUUUGUCGGAAAAUGAACCCCAUUUUAAAAUGCAAUUUAAUGAUUCAUGGAAAUGUUAAUGCAAAUGCAUGAUUUGAAAGGAAAAGAUGUACCUGCAAUUACUUACCAAUCAGUGCGGUAAAGCAUCUUGAGGUACAUGAUAAAUCCCCAUUUACUCUGUAAGUACCUAACUCUCACUUAAGUUCCUUAAAGAGUAUAAAAGGUAAUAGAUGGAGAUUGAGAAGAACAUUCACAUCCAAAGUGAAAUGUUCAAAGAAUUGAGACAUCUAGAUCCAGACUGAGAUGUCAAAAUUUUUGAACUCGAAAUACCUAAAUCCAAACUAAGGUAUAAUGAGAAAAGUCGAAAAAACAUUCACAUCCAAAGUGAAAUGUUUAGCGAAAAGAAUGGAGACAUCCAGAUCCAGACUGAUAUGUCUAAUUUUUGGAAAAUGGUAAAAGAAAACUUACCUGGAAUAUCUUACCUUCAAGGAGGGUAGAGUGAUCCAAGGUAAUUGGUGCUAUACGUUCAGGACUCGUACCUUUCUACAGUCACCUAAAAUAGUAACGAGAAGACUACUUUCCUAGGACCCGUACCUUUCUACGGUCAUCUAGUACGGCAGCAAGGUUUUGUAAGGAAACUACUUUUCUAGGACCCGUACCUUUCUACGGUCACCUAAUAGGGCAGUGUUUGGUUGUGUCUAGGACCUAUACCUUUCUACGGUCGCCUUGACGAAAAAAAUUGAUUUUUCAGGACCCGUACCUUUCUACGGUCGCCUGAAUGGGGAAAUUGCUUUUCUAGGACCCGUACCUUUCUACGGUCGUCUGUUAUAGCAAUAAAUGUUGUCUAGGACCCGUACCUUUCUACGGUCGCCUAAACUGAAGUUUUGCUUGGCUAGGACCCGAACCAUUUAUCGGUAGCCUAGCAUUACAAUAUGGGGAAUGAUCUUUGGGGACAACUCAAUCGAGUGGCGAUUAAAAGGGACUCUGGGCUAUAAAAGCACACUAGGUCAAUAUAAAUGGACACCGGGCUACGAAAGCAUGCCGAGUCGAUAAAGAUGGGCCCUAGGCUACGAAAGCACGCCAAGUCAAUAUAAAGGACACCGGGCUACAAAAGCACGCCUGGUUAAUAAAGAGGGACUCUAGACUAUGAAAACACGCCGGGUCAAUAUAAAGAGACUCUGGGCUACGAAAGCACGCCAGGUCAAUUUAAAAGGAUACCGGGCUACAAAAGCACGCCGUGUCAAUAAAGAGGGGGAUUUGGGUUACGAAAGCAUGCCAGGUCAAUUUAAAAUGACAGCUUGAUUGAGUCAAGUGUUGAGAAUGGGUAGAGAUACACUUACCUAAUGAUAUCUUUGAUUCUUUGGGGUAUGUCUUCUGGAACUUAGAUAUCCUAUGGAGGCCUCUCACCUCUUGGUAGAAAUAAAUUUUGGAACAUCAAGGAUGCACCUUGAAUGUUCAUGAUGGUUUCUCAUCUCUUAAUAUCAUGACGCAUUUUGAAAGGAACCUGAAUAUUAGGAGCUCUUGGGUCUUUGAGAAAACAUUAUCUAUCAGACAUGAUUAGAGCAAAAAUGCAUUUACCAAUGAAAUAAGCAAUUAAUGCUAUUCUGGAAUGCAUGCUUCAAAAUCUACUGAAGCUUUCAUCAAUUCAAUGAAGGUUCAUGCAUAAUAAAUUUUGCAUCAUCCAAAUUUCCACUAGAGAGAAUUAUCGUUUAAGACAAUUUUCACUCGUGACAUGGAUUUCUUAAGAAUACUAAAUGAGAGACUUUCGGUUAGAAAAUACUUUCGAUCACUCUUAUUUAGAAUGGCUAUUUUAUGCGAAUCACUCAAUUUCAUCAUAUCGACAUAAAUCCGAGUAUUCUCGCAAGCGGUACGAUCUUACCAAUCUAAGAGGUCUUUAAUAGGGACCAUAAUGUGGGCUUGUUCAAUGGCUUAACAAAUGGACUCUUUGAGUCAAGGCUAUUGAAUGAACGGUCUUGUAAUCAUCUCCGGGUUUAUAAGUCAAGAACCCUGCAAAAUGAGAAAGAAAUAAUCUUGCUCGCACUUCUUCGAGUGAUGCUUAUAAACAUAUGAACCCCUACAUUAAUUCAAGUGCCCUAAUCUGAAGACACUUUAUAAGGGACGUAACAUAGGUUGGGUUCAUGGGUUGAGAAAUGAAAGGAUCAUUAGGCUCAAAAUAUGUGUGAAGGGUUAAAGCUGAUGAUCAUCUAAGCAUUGUCACUGGUCUUCUCUUUCGCCAGGGAUGAGCCAUUGAUUUUGAUUCUUUGAGUACUGCUCCAUUGAGAUACAACCUUUUGCAAUUGAUAGUCACCUAUCAUGACCUUCUUUUUUCAUCUAUGGACAUUGACCUUGCUUUUACCAGGCACACCACUUUUUAUGCCCCUAGUUCUCAUGCAUUUUUUUUCACUUCUUUUCAUGGGCAUUGGCCUUGUUUUUACCAGGCACACUGUUUUUUCAUGCCCUUUAGUUCUAUUUUGAAUUCAAUUCUUGCGCAUAAUGCAUGCGUCAAGCAAUUACACUUUGAAUGACACUCGAACUUUUCAAGAGUCUUCAUCUGCCUUUUGCCUUGCCCUAGUGUGGAGGAUGAUCACCAACAAGGUUUGAAGAAAUGAAAUUGCAGGCUCAAGUGGGUUAUGCAAAGGAUAUAAGUGUAUGGGAUAGAGAAAGAAAUGCUCUUCGUCAUCCUAGGGCACUUAAAUUAACACAUGAAUUCAAUGUAAUAGCACUACUUGAAGAUUGAUGCAAGUGAGAGCAAGAAAAUUUCAAUUCAUUUUCCUUACCUCAUGAUGUCAUUUUAUCUCCUAGCUGCACCGAUGUGGGGUGAUUCUUGACAGGGGUGAUUCGAAAAGAAUAUCCAUAAGUGUAUGGACUCAAAAGGGUUAAGCAAUUGAUCACAUGUAGUAUUUGGGAUAGAAAAAUGAAUUGCCCCUCAUCAUUUCGGUUGCCGCACCUCUUGCAAGAGAACUCUUUAUUUUAUGGAUAUGAACCUUCCUACACUCAUCUCAUAAGUGUAUCAAUAUGGGACUAUGUAUAGGAUAGGAUUUGCCUUUCAUCAUCCCGACUCGUCUCAUUUAGUAUGCUCAAUCAAUUCCACAUCAUUCAUUAAAUUAGUCCAUCUUGAUGUUCUUUAGUGGAAUUGGUGGAUAAAACAUGUAAGAGUCAUCAUGCAAAAUCCUUUUUAAAAAAAAAAAAAAAGAUCUUAACAACUUUAGGCAUGGAAUAUUGUCAACUUUAAAACAAACAAUUUUCCACAAUAACAAUGGUUUUAAGCAUUUAUUCAGGGGUUGCUCCACAAAGGGAUUGCCUUAGCAGUUGAUGUCUUUGAAUUGUCCUUAUCAUUCAAGACUUAAAAUCCACUUUUGCCCCUGCACAAGAGAACGUGCAUCAGUAUGAUACUAUGCAACAUCAAAGUAAAUUCAAAUUACACAUCCAUUUUGGCUCGAGUUGAGACUUUAUCCCAAUCGGGUCACUACCAAAACCUGUCAUGCCCCUAAUUUGUCAACUCUUCCACCAAGGAAUGAUGGUCCUCUUUUUACUUGCCCCAAAUCUAUUUUUCACUGCAAGUGUGCUCUAAGCCUGUUGAUCACAAGUCAAGUUUAUGAUCAUUAAAAUUUGAUACACUAUUCUCAGAUGUCCCUUGUCAUAACAAGUUAUAGAAUUAUGCUCUAAGACAAGAAGCAAAUGAGUUAGACAAACAAACAGGUUUAAUCUACAACAAGCUUUGGGAAAUUUUUUUUUUUUUUAAGCAGUGAAAUGCUUUUGUUUUUGAAAAAGUUUUUAGGAUGAAGUAUGAAAAAGUUCAGCCCUCAGGAUUUCUCCGUGGAUAAUAGUUUCUAUUUCAUGGUAGGAUAUCGUCAUCGGGCUGGUUUGGCGUGCAUCAUUAUGCCCUCAAAAUUGGAAAUAAAAUUGUAAUUUCAUUGAAUAUAAUCAAAUGAAUUACAUUAUUGGAAUGGAAAAUGAAAACAAGCAAACCCUAGAAAUAAAAUCAAUAAUUGAAAUCUCAAAAAGCAAGAAAUUCUAAAAAACUUGAAGUCCUAGAAGAUAAGAACUUCUUCACUCAGUAACAGCGUUUGCGCCUCCAUCAUGGUUCAACGGAGAAUUUUUCUGAUUACUGCUGAAAGAGAACGCCUUUGUAUCCAAGAGAUCUUGGACCUUAUGCUUCAAAACAUAGCAAUCAUCAUUGGAGUGGCCAACCUCUCCCAUGUGAUAGUCACACUUUUCGGAGGGAUUAUAUGCAGGAUAAUGCUCGGGAUUUGGUCGCUUCGGUUCAGUAGAGAUUAAUCCCUUCUUUUGGAGAAUAAGCAAAACUUUGGAUAGGGGUUCGGGAAGAGGUGUAAACUGUCUCCAAACAUUACGUCGUCGACUCGAGAACUGAUGCCCUCCACCUUGUUGCUUAGUAGAAGUCUUAAUUACUGGAGCACGAUUGGAUGCAUCACGAUUCAGUUGAGAGUAGGCCAUAUUAAUCUCAACUUCAUGAUCCUUCUCCUUCUUGGUAGAAAAUCUCUUGUUAGAUGGCUCAGUAAGCCACCCUUCUCUUAUCCCCAUCUCGAUCUGUUCACCCAACGGAAUAAGUUGGUUGAAGUUCUCAAAAUACGUGCUAGCCAUCCGAUUGUGAAACUCAGACAGGAGGGUCUUCACGAACAACUUCAUCAGCUCCUUGUUGGUAGGCUCAGGAGUGAUUUGAGCUGCCAAGUUUCUCCAUCUCAUAGCAUAUUCUUUAAAUGACUUGUUCCUUUUCUUUUCCAUCUGCCCCAGGUCCUCUCGGGAAGGUGCGAUGUCCAUGUUGAACUUGUACUGUUUGAGGAAUGCGUUAGCCACUUCGUUCCAGGUGUCGAGGAGGUUCACAUUCUUCAUCACAUACCAAUUCAGAGCGGGCCCAGUCAAACUCACAUGGAAUGAUUGAAUCAUGAGGGCUCAUUUUUUACAUGCUGGGCCAUGGGCACGUGGUACAUCUGCAAAUGAGAUUUUGGGAAAGACGUAUCGUCAUAUUUCUCAAAUUUCGGCAUUUUGAACUUGCUCGGCAUUUUGACCUUCUCAUAGACCGAGAGGUCGAACGGGAGGGAGCUUUGUGACUCCUGUAGCUGUCUCACUUUCUCUUCCAGCUUCGCAACACGCUCACCCUGAUCUGUCUUGGGAACGCCGUCAAGCUUGGCCUUUCCAACAAUGACCGAGUCAUCAUCCAGCUCAAGCAUGUCGUCGUCAAUCGUUUGAACCUUGUUUGCUUGCUUCGGGAUAACUAUUUCAGGAAGAGCGAGUGCAACUGUUGGAUUCGCUUGGAGGAAUUGGAGUUGAUCCAUCACAAGUUGUAUAGAGGCGAGUACUUGUUGGAGUUGAGUCUCCACAGCGGACAUAUGAUCACGAAUUUCAUUUUGGUCAGCCAUUUUAGCCCUUGAUCGUGUAAUAAUAGGCGAUUGCAGUGGAUCCGUUAUGACCUAAAAAGGAAAUUGAAAAAAAAAUAUGUAAGCACAAGGUGUAAAUAGAGAAACAAUCCAUGACAAUGAUCUAAUCAAUUUUUCAUUUUUUUUUUUUCAUGAAAAGUUUAUGCCAGAAUGGAACUUCCUAAAAAUAACUAGAAAAAUAGAAAUAGAACACCCUAGCAAAAACUAAAUUUCCUAAAUACGAAUUAGGAAAGGCCAAAAUUUGAAACUCCCUAAUGAGAACAAUAAAGACAUGAAUUGAAAAUAAACUUUCCAAAGUUUUUUUUUUAUUUAUUUUCCAAAUGAUUCAUUGCACAGCAACUUCCUCAUUUCAUUUCUAACUAACAAAUGAAUUAAAUCAAUGAUUAACCUAGAUUACCAUGGACCGACACAAAGUACGAUAAAAUAAAUUGCAUGAUAUAGGGAUAGAAGACUUACUUCACCAAGGAAAAUCAAUGACAAUCAUAUAGACACACGCAUGAAAUGUGAGCCUUGAUUUCUACCUAGACGGCUUAACAAAGUGGAGCUAAAAGGAUGAUCUGACCGUUGCAGUCUCGCAUUAACGUGUCAGGUCUUCCUAACCUCGGCCUAGUCAAAUGGAAUACCCCAUAAUCACGCAGUCUUGCGGAUAUGAACAAACACAUUCGACACCAUGAAAGAAAUUUUAGGAAAGAGAAUGUCAAUCUCUACAUAGCAGUCUCGCUUUGGAGGAAGUAUUAUUCUCAACACCAUCCUAGAAAUCCUAUCGCAGCCCAGGUCCGACCGCAGGUUGUGUGUGCAAUAGUGUAGUGCUAAAAACAAUAAAACAUGCACAACAGUUUAAAUGCAAACAACACUUCCAUAAUUUUAAUUCAAACAUUCAUCCCUAACUCCAAUCUACAAGACAGGGGUUAGCAAAGACUACUCCCCUUAUACCUCCCAUCUGCAAGAAUAUUUAACACUUAAAUUAGGGACGUACCUGGGAUCCUCACUGCCAAACAAAAAUAUUUUUAAAAGAAAACGAAAAAUUGGCCUAAGUCCACUAAGUGUUUUAACACAAGUCCCCAGCAGAGUCGCCAAGCUAUCGCGACCAAAUUUUCGGGUGUAAACCACUUAAGGUUUGGCUAAUGGAUUGCUAAACCUAGACUUAACUCGGGCUCUCCCAAGCCCAUACCAAUUCGUGACUUAGGUUCAAAUUUCUUAACAUGCAAAUGGAUUUUAUUUAAGAGUCGCCACUAAUCAGUUUAUGGUAAAUCGAUUACACACCUGAGUAAAAUAAUGGGAGAGUUACUUUACUCCUACAAACCAGAGACUAAGGGUACGGGGACUUGGUUACAUUAGAUUUCUCUAAUGUCCUUUCGGUACCAUUCUUUUUAUUUUCAAUUUUUUUUUGUAGGCAGCUAAUUUAUUUUAACCUAAAUUACUAUAAUGUAAAAAGUGACCACACUAAUGCUCAAACAUUCAAUAAACAUUGAAUAAAAAGAUAAAUAAAUAAAUUCAAUCACACAAAGCAAGCAAUCAUUUUUUCUUUUUUUGGUUUUCUUGAAAUUAGAAUUUUUUCAUAAAAACAUGCAUUUUAACUACAUGACCUAACCUAUAUGACAUGAAGAAAUGCAAUAAUUAAAUGCGAUCUAAAAAGAUAAAUAAAUAAAUUCAAUCACACAAAGCAAGCAAUCUUUUUUCUUUUUUUGGUUUUCUUGAAAUUAGAAUUUUUUCAUAAAAACAUGCAUUUUAACUACAUGACCUAACCUAUAUGACAUGAAGAAAUGCAAUAAUUAAAUGCGAUCUAAAUGACCUAAUUCUAAUGACAUACAAUGCAAUGCAAUGACAUACAAAAUUAUUUCAACUAAAAUGACAUGUAACAUGCAAUUUAAUAUGCGAGCUAUACGUCACGCGACAUUUAUUAAAUGACCUAGUGUAAUGAUGAGCAAUUCCUAAUAUAAUGAACUUAACAACAAUCAUUAAAUGACGUGCAUUUCAUGAACUUAAUUCUAUAUGACGUGCAUAUGAUUUUUUAUCCUAAAAAUGCAAUCUAUUCUAAAUAAUGAAGUGAAUUUAAAAUGAAACUUGCAAUUUUAUCCUAAGAUGCCAUGACAUACAAAGAAUGCCCUAAUUCUACAUGAUAUAUGCAUGAUGAUUCUUUUGUAUUUUUAUUUUUGUAAAAAUUCGAAAUUAAAAUUAAUACAUAAUUAAACAUGCAAUCCAAAUAACAAACUAACAACCUAAAUGAAUGCAUUUUUUUUUUUCAUAUUUUUCUAAAUUCGAAAUAAAAUCCUUAUUCUAGAUAUGCAAGAUAACAAAAACUAUUCCAAAACAAACUGAGUCCUAAUUCAAAUAUUUUUUUGGAUUUUUUUUUUAUAUUUUUAGUGUUUUUCCAAGAUAAUCAAUUAUAUCUAAGCAAUUCAGAUAUCCACCAAAUAAAGGAUUAAAAAUAACCUGUUGUCUCACAGGUCAAAUUAACAAUUACUUCAACCCUAAACAUCACGACAAAAAUUCAAAAUAAUUAAAAAUAUGAUCCGAAGUCUUAUGGAUCAAAUUAAUAACUAUAAUGAUUUAACAAUUAAAAUAUCAUCAAAUGCCCAAAAAUUAAUAUAAUUAAAAAAAAUGAUCCGACGUCUUACGGACCAAAUUAAUAAUUACAUAGUUUUAGGCAAAAACUUAAGAAUAAUGCCUAAACUAUACAAAUAAUUAAAAUUGACAUCCCAUGUUCUAACUUAAGCAAAAAAGACAGCACUUAAAAUAACUAGAUAAAUAAAUAAAAAUAAAAAGAUAAAAGGUAAACCACCUAAAAAGGAAAUUGAAAAAAAAAGGCAACGAUGGUGGACGGCGCCGGGCAGAGGAUGGCCGGCGUCAGAGCUCCGGCGAGGGCACAGCAGGUGCACAGUGAGGAGCUCCGGCGAGGAGACUCGGAAUGGAGGUGAUUGAGCGUCGCUCGGGCGUGAGAUCGCUGCUCGAGCUGCUAGGGGGCGACGAGGCUAUGCAAGCCGUCGGAUUUGAUGGCGUCGGCGAAGGUCCGCUGAGGUUGCGGGCUGCUGAUCGACGACGACAGGGACCUGGGCUCCGGAUCACGAGCGAAGCAACAGCUUCGCAGCUUAGACGGCGUCAGGCCGUGGAAGUGUGCUCGCGGAGGGUGGAGCGCCGGGGCUUCGGGUCGUCGAGGGAGGGGCGCUGACCGAGGUGGAGGCGCGAGACGAAUCGGCGACUGGCUCCGGCGUUGGGACUGGUCGCGACGGCAGGGAGCGGCUCAGCGUCAGGUCAUCACUGGAGAUGCGACGUUGGCAGUGGCUCGGUGGGCGGCCAGCUAACGUGGGGGAAGCGUCGAAGAAGAUGAUGAAUAGUGCUAGGACUUCUCCUUUUUUUUUUUUUUUUUUCUCUCUCCUGUUGCACGUCCCUUCCUCUCUGCCCCCUCACUUUUCUGCAAAAGCUUUUUGCUUUUGACCUUUUCUCUUCUUUUCUUUCGACAAAGAGAAACCUAGAAAAAGCCCCCCUAUCUCAACCUCUGUGCGCACCUUUUAUAGGCAAAGAUAAAUGUGAUAUUCGGAUGAUACUUCGUAUCUUUUUUAAUAUAGGCAAAGAUUAUUUAUAACCUCCCAAUCACAAAAUUCUUUUUAUUUUCCUUAUCUCCUUAAUAUUUCUAAUGAUCUUAUCACCUAAAGACUAAAAAUAAGAUUGCAACUCGAUUCCAAAAACCACCGUAAUAUCGCAUCAAAUCUCAAUUUCCCACGAGAUAAUUAAUUUUAAAAAACGCCGGGCUUGGGCUAAUUUAUUCCUUUCGCGGGCCUAAUCUGGCCUGCCAAGCUAGAGCUCAGAAAUAUUAAUUCAAACCCCUCCACCAGCAGUCCUAAAAAAAUAAAAUGCAAAUAUGCAGACUAAAAAAUAAAUGCAUCUAAAUUUAUAUGUUAUGCAAUUAAUAUUUUUUUCAGGGAUAAAAUUACCCAUAAUUUUCUAUGCAAUAAAUGACCGGCUCACCAAAAUUUAGAUGUCAGCACCAGCAAAAAGAAAAGUUAAAAGAUUGUGGUUUAAAGUUCAAUUUAUAUUCAAAAAAGAGAAAGAGAGAGGGAGGGAGGGAGGGCCAAUAAGAAUUCAUUAUAAAUAAUGGAGGGUUUAUGAAUAAAUAAAUCAAAUAUUACAAAGUCGUCAUACAAUCGUUAUAUGACCAUUAGAUAACCAUUAUAUAACCAUCAUAAAACUUUACAAAAUGAAUUUAUAUAAAUGGCAGACAAAAAUGAUUACAAAUUGAUGACAACAAAAAAUUGUUAUAAACCUAAUAAUUUUCCAUAUUUCAAAACUAUUGAAAUAUCAAAUAAAUAUUUUAAAAAGUUUUGAAAAGAAAAAGAUAUAAUAUUGCUGGGCUAUUGGAGUUUAAUUCAUUAGAACCAGUGCUUGUUCGGCUAUGAUUCAACCCUCGAAAGAAUGAAAUAUAAUUUACAAAAUCAUUGAUAAAGUUUGAAUUUUUUUAUGAAUUGCUUUUGUAAAUUAUAAGUUUUACCAAUCACGUGACACUUGCACAAAGUUUGUUGUUCAAUGUGGCUCUUCGCUAACAGGUCAUCGCAUGCUUGGUUUGUUCAUAAGUGCUAUAGAUAUUAUCGCCAAUAAAUCUCAUAGGAGCGGCCCCACACAUUCAUAUAGGUGAUUCCAUCAAGUGCAUUCUACAGUUUAAAACACCCCCAAUAAUGGUUAUGAAAUUCAUUAAGAGCUUAACUCAUCCUCUUUUUCCUAGCUAGGGAAACGAAAAUAGAAUAUAUGGCAAGUACGCUAUCCCACAUGCACAGCCCUUCCUUGACUUUUAUAAUAGGGACUAUCUAUUAGCCAUUAAAUUCUUUUUCAUUCUUUCACUCAUAUCAUAGAAAACUUUAGAGUAGUAGAAUUAUGAUGUGUAGGUUUCACAUUUGUGGCAAGUGCAAAGCAGAUAACAUAAUUAAUUGGAAUAUUUCUAGUAAAAAUCAUACCAGGCAAAAAAGAAGAGAAGAGAGAGUUUUUUAAAGAUUUAUGGCACACCACAUAAUAUUAUUUUGGAGAUGGUAUGUUUUUGUCUCUUAACAUUUACAAGCAUUCUCUUAUAUGGGGAAAUACUAAAGACAAUUUUAUGGACUCUUAGUGGCCGACAAUAGCAAACUCUUAUUUUACAUUUUUUUUCAUUUCUACUAUAACUCCAAAUAGUACAAAAUAGUACAUGCAUAGUGUUAAAUAGUGUCGAAAAGUACCUUUUGUUGACACCUAAAUUUUUCAUAAAAAAUGGUAAAUUUUUACCUCAAAAAAUAGAAUUAAAAUUACAUAACAUAUAACUUUACGAGCAUUUAUUUUAUUUUAUUCAAUUCUAUUCUAUUUUUGCAUUGGACUGACAAUGAGCAUUGAUUUUUUAUACGACAUGAGAUUUUUCACAUAUUCAGAUAUUAUAUACUGAGGGACAUAUUUUUGGACAAAAAUGAAGGUUUCAAAUGAAAUAGUUUUUUUAUUUUUUUUAUUUUCUUAAUUUUCAUUUUAUGUUAUUUCUUUAUUUUUUUAUUUUUCAAUUUUUGUUAUUAUUUAAAUUGAAACAUUGGAUAUCGAUGUUCAUUUUAUGAAAUUUUUUAAGGCAUUAUCCAUAGAGUUUAGCCCAAAGAUUAUUAUAAUUAUUAAUUUGAUCCGUAAGACAUUGGAUCAUUUUUUAAUUAUAUUGAAUUUUUGGGUAUUUUGAUAGUGUUUUGAUUAUUAAAUCAUUAUAAUUAUUAAUUUGAUCCGUAAGAUUUUGGAUUAAAUUUUUAAUUAUUUUGAACUUUCUUUUAUGGUAUGAUGUUUAGGAUUAAAAUAAUUGUUAAUUUAAUCUGUGAGACAACGGAUUAUUUUUUCAAUUAUUGUAAUCUUCAUUUGAUGAAUAUCUUGAGUUGUUUAGGUAGAAUGCUUAUCGGAUAAUUGCUUGUCUUAAAAAAUACUAAAAAAAAUCAAAAAUCAAAAAUCAAAUCUUGCAUUGAAAUAUAUUGGUUUCAUAAAUUAGGAUUGCAUUUUUUAGAUUGUGCAACUUCAUUAUCUAGCUUAAGUAGGACUGCACAUAGAUUAGAUUUGGAUUUAAAUAAAUUUUUAUAAAUAGGGUCUUAGAUAAUGUUUGCACAUUUUAAUAAUCUUUUUCCUAAAAAAAAAAAAUAGUUUUCUAAGAUAGAAUAGGGUUUAAAUCAAAUUUUUCUCUAAACUAGGUUAGAAAAUUAUUCAUUUUAGAUAGUUUAAUUAAGUAUUCUUUUUUAUUACGAAUUUUAAUUAAAAAUACAAAAAUAUUAGGUGCGUGUCAAUUAGUUUGCAUGUUAGGUUCAUUUAAUUAGAAAUAUUUUGUUAGUAAAAUUAGGUCAUGUAGUUUAAGUGCAUGUUUUAUAGUAGAAUUCUAACUUCAAGAUAAAAGAAAACCCAAAAAAAAAAAAUUAUUUGCUUUGUGUGUUUAAUUAUUUUGAUGCAAUUUAUUUGAUUUAUUGAGUGUUUAAUAAUGAUUGAGCACCUCUAUGAUCAAUCUAUUGCAUGAUAGUGAUUUAUGCUAAAACCAAUCUUGACUACCUACAAAGACAUUUUUGAAAAUAAAAUAAUGGUACCGAAAUGACAUUAGAGAAGUCUAGUGUAACCAAGUCUCCAAACCCAAAGUCUUUGGUUCGUAAGAGUAAAAUAAUUCUCCCAUUAUUGUACUUAGGCGUUUAAUCGACCUACCGUAAACUGAUUAGUGGCGCUUCUAGAUAAAAUCCAUUUUUAAAAAAAUACUUGAACCUAAGUCACGAAUUGGUAUGAGCUUGAGAGAGUCCGAGCUAAAUUUAAGACUCAGUAAUCUAUUAGUCUAAACCCUAAGUGGUGCAUCCGAAAUUUAGGUCGCGACACCUGUAGGCUCAAUUUUCUUUGUCUUCACGUUCUUGCUUCAAACUUCUUUUUCCUUUAGUCUUCUUCUCUUGGAGGCUCUUUCACAUUACUUCAAAAUACUUUAGAGAUUGUACUUAUAGAUUGGUUCGUCAUCGUUUGAGCUAUUAGAGUCAUCCCGAUGUAAGAUGGGCUUAAUUGGAAAAAUAUUAAAAUAUUUAGGAUUUAAUUGGCGAAAUUGAAAGUUUUAGGACUGAAUUGAUAAAAGAACAAUAAAUAUAUGACUUUUUGGAUAACUUUCUCAAAAUUUAGGUAUUAACAACCACAUGACACGUGCUUUGUUCACUUACAACCGACAAAAUUUAUGGAAUGACUCAAAUAUAUUGAUAUUGUCAGUUUUAGGACAUCAAUAUAUGAAAUAGAAGUUUUAGUACUCAAAUGUAGUGUCAUGAAAACUUUUAGGACUUGCCCCAGACAAAAUGCUUUGUAUGAUUGUAAUCAAGUGGUUUCAGCAACAUCUCCUUCAAUUGCUUACACUUGCCUUUUUAUCUUAGAGGGAACCCAUGCCUGAACCGGUCUGCAUCAUCAUUUGGACUCGUUAACCUAUAAUGUGAUCACAUUUUUUUAAAUAACGAUCUCUUAAGGGUCCAAUAAUUGGAUGAAACCGACAUAUUACUUAAAAAAUUUCCUCGCCAUUAUCGGAAAAUUCUUGAAUGUGGCCUCCGCUCAAUUAUCUGCAUAAAGAAAGUUAAAUGGCGAAUCCAAUGUGAGGUAACGACAAUUCGAGUUCUAAUUAGCUUAAUAGGCCGAGUUGACAGAACUCCUUCAAGAAAGCCGGUAGACAAGCCUUCAUGAGCAGAAUGAAAGAGGAGUAAAUGAUUUUUUUUUUUGGACGAGAACGGAGAAAUAGUAUUAACUGGCAAGAGGAUUACAGCAAUUUAAAGCAUCCGUACAUAAAAGAGAAAAAAGGAAGGGAGGAGGAGAUUCAGGCCAAUUGGGAGGGAGGAUGUGAAGCCCAUGGGCUCGGGCGGCCCAAUCAGCGACCGUAUUCUCUUCUCUUCGAUAGUGGCGCACCUCUAGGGUUUGGAAAAGACGAAGCAAAGCUGCCGCUUCCACGAACAGAGCACGAGAGUCCCAAGGAAAGCGAUUCUGAUCUUGAACCAAAUCAACCAGCUGAAGGCAAUCCAAUUCGAGGAUAAGGUGAGUUGUAGAUCGUCCUAUUUGUAGCAGAUACCGAAGCGCAGAUGUGAAAGCUUGGAGUUCUGUUUGUAGGGCAGAGGCGAUGUUGAUAGUAAGGGAGAAGCCGUCGAUCAACCUUCCUGUAGAGUCUUGACAAACACCCGCCACGGAGCCUUGAGAAGAACCCGGGUGAAAGGAACCUCGAUAUUAACUUUCAGUACACCCAAAUCAGGAGGAUGCCAUCCAAAAGGUACAGAGGGCAGAUGAGAAGGGCACCUCCGGGUCGAAGAAAGGGGCGGAUAAACAUAUCCGACAAUGGUUGUGAGAUCUAGUAGAGGCUGAGUUCGAUUUGAGCUCCAAUGAGGAUUGGACUGAUCAGGAUGCUUCUUUUGAUGCAGGGGCUUGGAGUGACAGGAUUUGUAAGAGCGAUCGUAGGCGAUGGCAUUGAAGACCACAAGAUCAGGAUUGGGGAGUCGUUGACGAAAGAUGUAAUCAUUCCUGGCCUUCCAAAUAUUCCACAAAAUAGCUGCUACAAUAGCCAAAUCAGGUAAUAAAUCCUUCCUAUACAUGAGUUGUUGAAGCCAAGCAUCAAAUCUGUUAGUCUCAAACUGUCGCAUGUUUAUGUGAAACUGUGAAUGAGACCACACUACUUUGGUCCACGGACAGUGAAAGAAAAGAUGUUAUGUUGAUUCAGGGAUAUGAUAACUACCGUAAUUUUGACAUAGGCGACAUGUUGGAUCUGAUAAAAUAUGCUGGUUAUACAGGUUUUCACCUAUUGCAAUAGCAUUAUGGAACAGAGACCAUAGGAAGAUUCGUAGUUUAGGGCUUGUCGGCACCUGCCAGAUAGUAUUCCAAAAAUGCCUAGGUAGCGUAAAAGAAGAAGAUGCAUGGUUAAGAUAUGAGUUGGAUUCUCCUGAUCGUAGACAAUUAUAGCCACUUUUGACAGUAUAGAUACCAUUCUGUCUCCUUGUCCAGAUUAAAGAAUCAAAUGUAAACUGAGGGCGUACCUGUAUUCGGAGGAUCUCGUUUAUAAUUUGAUCAGUGAAACUGUUUUUGAGCAAAGAGAUAUUCCAAGAUUGCUGUUCAUGGUUAAUAAAAUCAGCAACCAUAGUAGGUUCAUUAUGCGGUGGAGGUCCCCCAAUGAUACCCAUAGAUAGCCAUUUGUCCUCUCUAAUACGGAUAUGCUGGCCAUUACCUACUGACCACUGUAGAUGAUUAGACAUAGAAUCACGGCCAUGUAAAAUGCUUUGCCAACCCCAAGAGGACCUGGCUCCUCUUUCUGCAUGCCAUAAAUCUUUUGAAGGGAAAUAAAGCCCUUGAAAGAUCUGACUCCACAGUGAGUCAGGGUUUUGAAACAAACGCCAAGCUUGUUUUGCUAAUAAUGCCUUAUUGAAAGCUACUAGAUCUCGAAAACCAAGACCCCCUGCAUCUUUACGUCUCUUCAAUGAUUCCCAAUUUUUCCAAUGCAUUCCUGAUUUUUCACUCUGAGUUUGCCACCAGAACUUAGAAAUUUUCUGCUCAAUAGCUUUGCAAAGAGAAAUGGGAAUUUUAAAGAUAGACAUAGCGUAUUGAGGCACUGCUUGAACUACGGCUUUAAUCAACACUUCCUUGCCACCUUUCAAAAAUAGUUUUUCUUUCCAUCCAUCCAUUUUUGAAUUCACCUUAGCUAAUAACCAAGAAAACAUCUCUGUUUUGGACCUACCCCAGUCCGAAGGUAUGCCAAGAUAUUUCCCUGUCUUGUUGAUCACCGGAACACGCAAUUCGCUGGCCAGAUAUUCCUGAAGAGGUGCUGGACAGCCACGAAUAAAAUAUAUACCAGACUUAUUGUGAUUUAUUGCCUGUCCCGAUGCUUGACAGUAUUGAUUUAAAAUGUUUGACAGGUUUUGGUAUUCAAGCAGCUUUCCUUCAAUAAAGAAAAUGGUAUCAUCGGCGAAAAAUAAGUGUGAAAGAUUAGGACUGCUCCGGGUAAGUUGAAUACCUUUUAUGUUUCCCAUAGCAACAGCUUGAUGUAUGAGAGUUGAGAGAGCAUUUUCUACUAGAAUAAAUAAAUAGGGGGAAAGGGGAUCACCCUGUCAAAGACCCCUUGUCAUAGGAAAAGGCUGAAGAGGCUGACCAUUAAACUUAAUACAAAGAGAAGCAGUCGUGACACACUGCAUAACCCUGUAGAUCCAAUCUGCAUGAAAGCCAAUCUGUUUUAGAUAAUCCCGAAGAAAAUCCCACUCGACGCAAUCGCAUGCCUUUUGCAUAUCGAGUUUGAGGACCCCCUGGAAUUUUCUUUUUCUGUUUUGGAUUCUGACUUGAUGUAGAACUUCCUGCACUACUAGGAUGUUAUCCUGGAUUUGACGUCCACUAACAAAAGCACUUUGCUCUAUAGAUAUGAGUGCAAGUAGGAGAGGCUUUAAUCUGUUGGCUAAAAUCUUUGAAAUGAUUUUGUACUGAAAAUUACAAAGACUAAUCAGUCUGAAUUGGUCCAGCCUUUCAGGUUGCGAUAUCUUUGGGAUCAGAGUAAGGAAAGUUCUGUUGAUGACAUGAUCCAACUCACCAGAUUCAAAGAAAGCUUUCACCAAGGUAAUGACCUCUACCUUUAAGAUAUCCCAGUGAGCUUGAUAAAAUUGACCAUUUAAGCCAUCUGGGCUAGAUGCUCUGGAUGCCCCAAGCUGAAAAACCGCUUGCUGAAUUUCUUCAUGGGUAACUUCAGCUAUAAGUUUACUAUUAAUUUCCUCCGUGACAAUAGCAGGGCAUUGACUUAAAAAGGGGCCAUAGUUGCGUUGCCCAACAGAGGUAUAAAGAUUUUGGAAGAAAAGCUUAGUCAUUUCUUGUAAAGUUGUUUCAUUUUUGAUCCACUGAUUUUCUUGAUCUAACAACAGACUGAUUCUAUUUCAUUGACGUCUCUGGAUGGUGGUAGCAUGGAAGAAUUUUGAAUUUUUGUCCCCCCAUUUCAACCAUUGUACUCUAGAACGCAUGGCCCAAUAUUGUUCUUCUUCAGUCCAUAAAUUUCGAAUUUGAACUUUUAAAGCAUCCAUUCGAGGCUUGUCAGAAUGACUGUUUCUUUUGUUGGUCAGGAGUUGGAGCUGCUGUUGAAGCUCGGAGAUUCUGUGAUGGGCAUUAGAGAAUUUGGCUUUGCUCCAUCGGGAAAGAGCUGCUAAAAUAAGGCUUAAUUUCCAAGCUAAGGUAAUAUGUUGAGACCGAGAUUGAGUUAACGCAUCUGAAAUAACCAAACGACAUUCCGGGUCCUAUAGCCAAAAAGAUUCAAACGUGAAAAGCCUUGGGCGUCGAGGAUAGGCAGGAGAGGAGUGUAAAACCAGGGGGCUGUGAUCCGAACCGAUGGCCGGAAGAGCAAUCACCUCAGCAACUGGAAAGGUGAGACGCCAAGAGAUAUUGUAGAGAGCUCUGUCAAGACGCUCUUUAACUAAAUCAUCUCAUGUUCUAUUGUUACACUAGGUAUAGGAGUAGCCCUUACUGACUAGGUCCAAGAGGGAAGAGUCACUCACCAGAUCUCGAAAGGUAUUCAUCCGUUGAAAAUUUAAUGGUCGUUUACCUUGUUUCUCCCAAGGAUACAUUACCUCAUUAAAAUCUCCAAUGCAUAGCCAAGGUAAAGUAUUAUGAGUAUUAAUGAGCUUCAGUUUAUCCCAAAACAAGAGUCGAAGAGAGACGAGAGCCGGUGCCCGGAGACAAGUGAGCCGCAUAGAAAUUCCACACUCCCUAAUAAGGCAGAGAAGAUCAAAUAAGUCUGAGGACUGAUGCUCCAAAGUUAGGUGAACAAAAUCGUGCCAAAAAAUAGCUAGGACGCCAGCAAGGCCAGAAGGUUCUUCCAAAAAACUAUUUGGAAACUUAAGACGUUUUUGUAAACUGUUUAGCAUUUCUAUUCUUAGUUUCCAUCAAAAAAAGGAUGUCGGGCUUUUCUCGAGCCACCAACACCCAAAGGGCUUGAACUGUCAGGGGAUUACCCAACCCCUGACAAUUCCAACUUAUUAACCUCAUUUGUCCGAUGGUGGCUUUUUAGGGCCAACAACCAUAGCCCAAGUGUCAGAUUCAACAGCAUCAAAGAUUGGGGUAUCCAACAGGAGUGAUUCGUCAAGGCCCUCUCCCAGCAGGUUUGGACGCUUUAAUUUUUUAAUUGGCCCUGCCUUGAUGCUCAGCUUGUGACUCUUAGCUUUCUUUUGCUUGGAAGAGCUGAAAGAUCCUUCUCCCAUUACUGGGUAAGGAGGAGGUGCGAGGUAAGGGAGAAGUCCCACUGUAGGAGCCAACUGCCUCUUAGCCUGAGCUUGCACCUCGAAGAGUUCUAGCAAAAUAAGAGGAGGGCUGGCAUGGAUCGGCACAAUCUCUUUGCCUUUGUUGCUGUGUGAUGGGACUGAAGGUAAGUCAGUUGAGGGAUUGACCUAUGUCUCAGGAACAGAUUCCUCAACUUCAGGAGAGGGGCUGGGAGAGGCAUAAAAGGCGAGCCAGAAAGGGCUAAAUUCCCGAACCUCAGCCCUGAGCCACUGACCGAAAUAUAAAUUGUCUCUGUUAUCAAACUUUUGCUCAUCAUACUCAUAAUCUUUGCAGGUUGAGGCAUAAUGGCCAAGCUUACCACAGGAAUAACAAAAGUUACACAUGCACUCAUAACGAAAGUCUAACCAGAUGUUUUUGCCAUCAACUCUAAGAAAUUGGCUUGGCUGAAGAGGAUCUUGAAGAUUAAGUUCAAUUCGGGCCCUGCCAGCAUGAAGAGAGGUUCCCGCUCCACUGUCUAUUUUUAUUUCUAGAAAUUUGCCAACCCUUCGAACAACUCAAAUCAUUUCCUUCGUGCAGCGCUCCAAAGGGAGACCGACAAUUUGGACCCAAAAAGCACAUGACGAAAAGUCAUAACAGUGCAACGGCGUGUUAUACAACCAAGGACGUAGAAUGACCAAAAUACCUCCAAACCGCCAAGGACCAAUGGUAAGAAUUCGAUUUUUCUCUGUUUCAUUUUUUAAUUUGAAUACAAAUAAACCCCCAUCAUGUGGCGUAAUAUCAACGUGAUCCAUCCUCCAAGCAUUCUUCAUGGUAGACUGAAAAGCUGUGAAAUUAACAGUUGUAUUUGACAGGAGCUUACCCACAAGUAUGAGCUAAAACUCUGCUAAAGCUUCAGGUGAAGGUGCAUCCUCCCAAACUUCGAUAUGCUGUUCAGACCAAAGACGACCCAUGCGUUUGCUUAGAGCGGCCAUGCGAGCAUCCUCGUACAAGGUAGUACACGAGGUAUCGGGGCUCCCAGGCAUACUGUUGGGAGCUGAAGAAGCCAUAAGAAGAACCGAGAAAACAACACACACCUAUAUUCCGUAGGCAGGGGAUGGCGAGGGAGCUUCAGAUGAUUACAAAACUCAACAUGCAGACUAGGAACUAGUACAUGCAGAACGCCGAUGGAACCAAGACACAGAGAACGCGAAACAUCGGGGUCACUAUCGGAGGCGAAAGCGAAGAAAAAAAGAGGAAGAGGAACUAGGAAUAAACUCCACUUAUCGGAAACUGCACUUAGGGUAUGAGGAAAGAAAAAACUACCAUUACGGUAGGCAAGAGCUCGAUAAAGGAGAGCAUUUUACAUGUUAAAAAGUUGGAACACCGAGAUUAAAGCUUGAAGAAGAACAUAAACCCAAUUAGGGUUCGGACGAAGGAUGAACUACCACGGGGGUAGAGGGAAACUCGACAAAAUGAGAGAAAAAUUCUUGCACAAACAUCGACCGUGAGGUUUAGGAGUAAAUGAUUUCAAAAGGGUUGUCUUUAUUUUGUUUUGUUACCUCCACUGAACGUUUGAGAGUGAAAUACCUUUAUUGAUCGGUCAUUAAGAAGUCUCAAUAGGUAGGGGUGUCAACAGUUCGGUUCAGUUCGGUUUUUUAAAAAAAACCGAAUCGAACUGAACCGUUAGAAAAAAUUUCCGAACCAAACCAAAUGAGUCAUGAACCGAAACCGAACCGAACUAUCUAAAAAUUUCGGUUCGGUUCGGUUUUUCGGUUUUUGGUUUUCGGUUUUUUUUCGUUUUUCGGUUUCGUUUUUCUGUUCGGUUUUUUUUAGACGGACCUCUUCUUUCUUCUCUUGGGGGUUUCUUUCUCCUCAGGCUUCUUCUCUUCUGGAGCAGGUGGCUUUGGAAUAGGGGAGAGAAGCUCCACUAUUCACAAAUCCACCCAGACCAAAAAGGAAUCAGUGCUCCAAAUCCACAAAGCAAAGCAAAGGCAGAGCUUUGAAAGCGAAGAAGAAGACCUCUCCCAUUUGGGUUGUUCUGUUUAACCGUUCAGAAGAAAAGACUUGAAGAAGAAGAAGGGUACGAAGACACUUGGGGUUAGGGUGUAGAUAAGAUUUGAGGUGCUCUCUCUCCGGGUGUUGCUGCAGUGGCUACUAGAAAUUGCUCGGGACCAUUAGAUCUCGCUCGCAACUCCCACCACCAUCACCAGCACCACAAACACCACCAACAUCAGCAUUCAAACUCAAGAGCCAAGCUUGGCAACUGAGCUCUCUCCACCUCCUGCGAGCCCCGAUCCACCAUGGAAUCUCGACCCACUCGAAGCGAAUUGAUCGAUCGAUGGAUGAUGCAAGAGCUGAGGUCAAAUAGAAUCGAAUCAAUGUUCUCUCGGAGGAGAUGGGAGAGAAUAACCAAACCAUUUGGUUAAUGGUUUAUUUUAUCGGUUUUCGGUUCGGUUCGAUUCGGUUAAUCGAUAAAAACCGAACCGACAACAAAAAUUUCAAUUUUUAAUGAACUAAACCGAAAACCAAACCGAACCGAAAAAACUGAAUUUUUCGAUUCAGUUCAAUUCGGUUCGAUUUUCAGUUCGGUUCCUGACACCCCUACCAAUAGGAAGUAAAAAGCAGUAACAAGUGAAUGAUCUGGACUCACCCAACACUUGCUCUCACCUCUGUGGGUCUAGGACGUGUGUGUGGCCUAUCGCUUUUACCUUUGUGAAAGCUUUAACUAGCUCUUGCUCUUAUGUGUCUACUAAAAGGCAGCUAUGAUGGUAUGGAUAAGGGUGGUGAAGCCCUUGCAAGAAGCAAGAGUUGAUGGCUGGCAAGCCAACAAAGAAAAGAAAAGAAAAAAAUAAAUUGAAAAAAAGUAAAACAUCAUUAAAAAUUAUUUACGUUAGUGCUGACUAUAUCAUAUAAUAUGACAGGUGUCCAUGUCAAUAAUAUUUAGAAAAAUUAGUCGGAUGAACUUAAUUGACAAAACAUGAAUAGAUUCAAGACUCAAUUAGCAAAAUUAAAAUAUUUAGGAUUUAAUUUGGCAUUAGGUUUAGAACCUUUUGGACAAUUUUCCCGGUCUCUAGUCCUACUUUUCUCUAAAAAAAAAGAGACAACUACUUUUUCGUGCUUUUCAUGUAUGGAUGUCAAAAAUAUUUAAUUCCAUUUGAUUAAUGGCAUAUCAUCGAAAAUUGCAUGACAUUAUAUAUUUACAUGAUUUAUUGUAGCCCAAAGUGAAAUAUACCAAUUAAAUAUCCUAAUGCAAACUACUUAUUAUGAAUAGCCCCAUCAUCUCGAAAAAAAAUUAGCGAGUGCUUCGACUAUGCUGGUUUCCUCUUACAUGUGAGCAUGUGAGGGCAGAGAAGGCACGCUCUUGCUGAAUGAAAUUAUUUUCUUCGCCGCCUAAAAGAGUUACGUUGCAAGCUUUACUUGACGAUGAAGAUAAGUACACCAUUAGUGUCAUAAGUUAUGUACAGUGCUCGCUUUGGUGCCAAAAAAUUCUGUCGGAUCACUUAAAUGCCAAAAAGUUUGAAAAUCGAUCAUUUAAGUGCCAACUCUGAUCUAGUUGGCCGAAAAUCUGACAUCACACUUUUUUAUUAAUUUUUGAAGCUGAUGUGGCUCGCUGAAGAGUACAGUCAGCAAUGAAACAACAAAACGAUGCCGUUUGGUUUGUCUCCCCAUUACAAAACCAUAAAUCUUCGGCCAGUUGCCAUCCUUGACGGCCCCUGUGCUUGGCAGCCGUGGCUCCGACCCCGACCCCGACCCCGACAACGGCCACUCGGCGGCCAAGUCGAAGGCCAUGAUCUGGCCGAUGCUCGGGGAGGCCGCCAACGAGUGCGCCACCCUCGAUCUCUCCCUCUCAAUCUCUGAUCUCCCCAACGAGUGCCUAGCCUGUGUCUUCCAGUACCUAGGCUACAACAACCCAAGCCAGUGCUCCCUCAUGUGCCGCCACUGGCUCGCGAUCGAAGGCUAGAGUUGCCAAAGGCUCGCCCUCCACACCCACUUGGAGCUGCUGGACACGGUCUCGGCUCGAAGAAUUUGAAGACGUUGAAGCUGGUGAAAUGUUACCGAGAUUAGGACACGGUGCUACUAUGACAAAGGCUGAGCGAUGGUGGCCGAGUAACGGCGGCCGGCGUUGGGCGAGGAUCGAACAAAAAAUCCCUAAUUUCAAUCCCCAAAAAAUAAAAAAAUAAAAAAAAUAAAAACCCAAAUGAGUUGUGCGACGUUAUUUUCUCAAGGCCAUCCACUUAGGACGGCAAAACAACGCAGUUUUCUUAAGGAGGACGAAAAAUGAUGUCAUUUAAAGGCCUUGUCGAUUUUUUUUUCAAAGCCACAUAAUCAUUUUGGCCGGAAUCUCUCGCCAGUGGCAUCAAAGUGAUCGUUUUUCCUCCAAUUUGGCACUUAAGUGAUCUGACAGAAACUUUUGGCACCAAAGUGAGCGCCAUACACAACUUAUGGCACUGAUAGUGCACUUCUCCCCUUAACGAUGUAAUGGCAGCGAUCAUGCAGCAUCCUAAGCUAACUUUCUUCUAUCAUACUAAGUUCACCUACCGAAUUUGACCAGACAGAUUCAGGAUAUAUAUAUAUAUAUAUAUAUAUAUAUAUAUAUAUAUAGAGAGAGAGAGAGAGAGAGAGAGAGAGAGAGAGAGAGAGCGGGGAUAUUGAGGGGAAGGAUAUGGAAUAUAUCUGACAUCCUUAUACCCAAUAAUACGAAAUGAAAAUUGCAGGAAAAGCACCAAAAAAGUUCACAACCUAUUACAUCGGUACCAAUUAAGUCUUGAACUUUUCAAUUUCAUCAAUUAAGUUCUAAACAUUUUCACAUUGGUACUAAUUGAAUCCAUCCAAGCAACUUAUGGUAGAAAUUAUUGACAUGGAUGCCGGUCAUCCUACGUGACACGACCACACUGAUGUGAACAUUUUUAUAUAAUAUUUAAUUUUUUAAUUGUUUGAAUUUUUCAUUUGCUUUUUCUUUUUUUCCCUUUUUUUCUUUUAGCUUCUUUAUUUUCCUCCUCCAGCCUUUGUGAUGGUUGGUGGAGGUCACGGGCAACAAGCAAGACCAGCCUUAGGGUUAUGUAGGGUUGGCAAGCAUUGGUAAGCCCUCAUUGGUCUCUAGCAAGGGCUAGCCUUGCCUGAACAAGGCCUCUGUGACACCCCGAACCCUUUGUAGGUCGUCACCAGCGCCGGUGUUACAUGUUUUACCAUCUCUUCUCUUGGCUAAAUUAAGCCUUGCCAGAUUUCAGGCAUUUUUUUUUUUUUUAAAGCGGUCCCAUGCGCGACUCAUAGCGGAAGCAAAUUAAACAUCUCCAUCUCUCCCCUUACUAACCAUGAUACCAAUACACACCAACUAAACAUCAGGAUUUAAAAGAUAAGCCAUGCCACUAUUAUUUACAUAAUAUCGAUGGGUUUUUCACGGGUCGAUACAACAAAAAGGAGACCAAGAUUUUCAGCCACACUCGGCCUCAUCCCAAAAAGAUACUACGACCCCUAAAGAAAAUCACAUGUCAUUUCCCCCAUCCAACAGUGGCGGCUACUCCCAAAAAGACGACACCAGCUCUCUACCCUUCACACAACCAUCACACCCAUCCAGGUGCAUCGGGUGGUGGUGGCGGCAACAUCCCCCUAAACACUCCGUCUCGGCGGACAUGAACAGACAAAAACUCCUGGAUGACUGGGCCCCCAGCCAGGCCCACGUCGUACAUGACCAGCACACGCACUCGCAUAAAUGUCAGUCCAGGGAUAGUGACGCAGUCGAUCUCCGUACAAUCUACUUCUACAUCUGACGGAAUACCAUAGAAGGUGCCUCGCGUGACGGUGGGAAGCGGCAUCUUUCUAAUCUGAAAUGUUAUCCCCAAAAGGGGUGAGUAUAACCACUCAGCAGAUAGGGAACUCCAAUAACAUUCCAAUGCAUCAUACAUAUCAUCACACGUUGCAAGCAUCACUUACCUUGUAACCAUGCAUAUCAUGCAUCAUCACAUUAGCCAUGCAUCACCAUGCAUAUCACAUCAUAUCAUCAUUAGCCAUGCAUCACCAUGCAUAUCAUAUCAUCGUUAGCCAUGCAUCACCAUGCAUAUCACAUCAUCAUCAUUAGCCAUGCAUCACCAUGCAUAUCACAUCAUAUCAUCAUUAGCCAUGCAUCACCAUGCAUAUCAUAUCAUCAUUAGCCAUGCAUCACCAUGCAUAUCACAUCAUAUCAUCAUUAGCCAUGCAUCACCAUGCAUAUCAUAUCAUCAUUAGCCAUGCAUCACCAUGCAUAUCACAUCAUCAUCAUUAGCCAUGCAUCACCAUGCAUAUCAUAUCAUCAUUAGCCAUGCAUCACCAUGUAUCACAUCAUAUCAUCAUUAGCCAUGCAUCACCAUGCAUAUCAUAUCAUCAUUAGCCAUGCAUCACCAUGCAUAUCAUAUCAUCGUUAGCCAUGCAUCACCAUGCAUAUCAUAUCAUCAUUAGCCACGCAUCACCAUGCAUAUCACAUCAUAGAUCAAUUUCCACUUUUACUUAUCAAUUGAUCCCCACAUUAUCUUUUCUCAAAUCAUCAAAUUCACCAUCAUCACCAUCCCUUCGGGCAGAAACCUCCGACAGGGAUCCCAGCAUUCCAGCCAUCUCAUGGCCACUGGGCUUCCGGCCCCCCACAUUCCGGGCAUCUCGCAUCUCAACUAGCAUCACGAGGCAUUCCCUUCGGGCAGAAACCUCCGAUAGGGCUUCCGGCCUUUACCCUUCUAACCGGGGAUCUCGCACCCUAAUCCUGGCAUCGCGAGUCACUCCCUUCAGGCAGAAACCUCCGACAGGGCUUCCGGCCCCCCACAUUCCGGGCAUCCUGAAACUCCCAAGGAAUCUCUGGAAUUACGCCACCAGGCCACCAGACAACAUCCUCCGCCACAACCUCUUACUCACAUACCACUUUCCAUUUUUUUAUCAUCCUUUUCAUCUUAUUAUUUCAUGGCAUAUGAAUCACACACACGCAUCAUGAUUCAUAAUCAUACAUGCAUCAAUGCCAUAUAACAAUGCAUCAUAUUCAUGUGCAUACAUACACCCAUGUCAUAUAACAAUGCAUUAUAACUCAAUAAAACUCUUGGCCAAUAAAAUAAUCCACUUUUUAUUUUAUUAUUAUUUUAUUAUUAUAUUUAUUUAUUUUCAUAAAUAUUUUAUUUAAUAUUUAUGAUUUUCCAAAAAUCAUAAUAUUCAAACAAUCAUUAAACAAACAAUUAAAAUCACAAUUUCACACAAAUUCAUGGCCAAAUUUGCAUUUCACAUAAUUUCCCAAUAUUUCCACAAAAUACACACAAUAUUCGGAUAAUGGCCAGAUUACACAGUUUUCAAAUUAAUUCAAUUAAAAUACUCAUAUGACCUCCGAAAAUUCCCAAAUUUUACAGGGUAAUAGAAAACACAUUUUCGUGCACUUUUUAUGAAGAACCCUAAGCCAAAUUCUUUUUAUAUUAAUUUAUACAACUCCCUGAAGCUUCUGGAACCUCUACCGUUUCGUCCAGAACGUACAUCACCGAAAAACUUAGGUUUGACCCAUCAAAUCUCUUUCGUUUCUUCUGAAAUUCGAGUAUGUUAUGUAUCAAUGUGUGCUUUACAAGUUUCAUGAAGAGAUAUAGGCUAAAUAACCAAAGUAUGAUCUUCUUUUAAGUCCUUGAAGUCUCGGGUGUCUCGGUAUACUUCAACAGAACCAAACGUCUCAAAGAUCUAGCCGAUUAACUAGGCUAUACUUGUUCAUUUAUCUUCAAAUUUGCGUAUUUUGUAGUUUAGGAUGUUACCUACAACUUCCAUGAAGACAACAAAGUGAGAUCUCCAACAAAAAUCAACAUGCAACCAAGAAAUCAUCAAGAGGUCAGUAGGAAAUUCGCAGAUCUGAAGUCUCCGUAUAACAGAGCUUUUGACCCCUCAUAUCACCUUCGUUUUCCAUUAAAUUCGAGUAUGUCAUACUACAAGAUGUUAGCUUCAACUUUCAUGAAGACACCGAAGCCAAAAUCACACUCCAAAUACACAUGCAAGCUCGAAUAAGAAACUGUCUACCACAAACCGAACGGAAACAGCCACAUUACAUGAACACAUGAAACCCUUGCUUGGUAUUUCGCCCCAAAACACCCCUAAAACCGAACAUGCAACCAUCAAAACAACGUGCAAGAGAAGUUAUGGACCCCCACUUGCCUCCAAGAUGAACACACAGCAACACACGGCGGUGUACGGUGGUCGGACUAGGCGGCGACGGCGAGACACGGCGGCGGCAACUCUCGGCUCCACCUCCUCUCUCUCGGGCUCUCUCUUCCGCUCAAGCUCUCUCUCUCGCACACCUCUCUCUUUGGACGGAAAUGAAGCAAGUAACCGGCCAUUUCUCUCUCCUAAUCCCUUUUUAUACUCCCCCUAGGCUCAUCAUAGGUAAUGAUUGAUCCACCACACCUAUGGCCAAUGCAUGUUCUUCCUUUGGCCACUUGUAAUUCUUGUUUUUAAAUUUGAAUUUCAAUGGGCUUGGGCUUAGGCCCAACCGGCCACUCCUUCUUGGGCUGGUCGAACUCCCCUCUUGGGCCCAAUGGGCCGACUAGCUUGGCCCACCAAGCUCUAGGCUAAUGGGUCCAAGGCCCAUUUCGAAAAUAACCCUAUUUUCUCUUCUUCUUUUUUUUUGAAUUCUUUUUUAUAAAUAUUUCUAAAUUCAAAUUUCAUCUUGGCCAAAGUCUUGGGAUAUUUCAAUUAUUGAAAUUUAAAUCAUAUGGCCAAGCAUUAACUAAUUAAAUUUAAAUUUCCACAAUACAAGCAAAAUUCAUCAAAUUAAAAGACAAUUUGGCUAAAGCAUAGGCCAUAAAAUUCUAUCACCUAAUUAAAGACAUUUAACACACCUUAAGGCUUGGCUUUGAAUUUCCGGGAUGCCACAGCCUCUCACCAAUGCUAGAGGCUAGUGAGGGCUGGCAAGGGCCAGCCUCGCCCGCAUGAAGCUCCUCGCUAUUGGGCGAGGCCACCCUUAUCAUAAGGUCCGCCUGCCAAAUCUAGCAAGAGGCCUUGUCCAAGUGUGGUUAGCAAUGGCUUCUUAGCCCUCGUUGGCCUCUAGCAAAGGCAUCCCAACUCUCGCCCUUGUCGGCAAUUGGCAACCUCGAUCGACCAUUAUGGAGGUUGGUAGAGGAAAAUAAAGAAGUAACGAAAAAAAAAGAAAAAAAAAGGAAAAAUUUUAAAAAUCAAUCAUUAAUUAACUAUUAAAUAAAAUACAGAUGUGCCACAUAAAAUGGCCGAUAUCCAUGUUAGUAAUUUCUGGCAUAAAUUGAUCAGAUGGAUUAAAUUAAUAUCAAUGUGAAAAUGUUUAGGACUAGAUUGAUCCAAUUGAAAAGUUUAUAAUUAAAUUAAUACCAAUAUAAUGCAUUUAGAAUUUUUUUGAGAUUUUUCCCUGGGAAUUGCAAAUGGGGAUAUAAGGACAAAUUCUGGCGAUAGUUAUAAAACAUUAUAAAAUUAACAAUUGCAUUUAAAAAUAGUAUAAGUAGUACUCAACAAAUCAUAUGAUUUCAAACUAUUUGACUUUGAUUUUACAUCUUCCUCAACUACAGCCACUUGAAUUCCUUUGUCCGAGUAAUUGUCCCUUUUGAAACAGGGGGUAUGUACGGACUCAAGAAAUGGCAUACCUAUGCAUUUGACGUGUAUCCACGCACCAACGGUUUUUAGACUUCACCAACAACUAUGGACAGAUCUUCGACAAAUUGCCAACUCCAACUCUUCACUAUGGGUUUGUGCUAGUGAUUUCAAUGAAAUAACCUAUCAUUGGGAGAAAGUGGGAAAAAGGUUAGCCGACUUUAAUCGAAUGCAUUCAUUUAAAAAAGUAUUACAUGACUGUUCAUUAAUCGACAUUGAGAGUAAGAGCUAUGCAUUUACUUGGAUGAAUAACCAAGAUGGAGAUGAUAUUGUGAAAGAGAGGUUGGAUAGGGUGCUAUGAAAUUUGGAUUAGCGACUUACCUUCUUGGAUGCUGAGGUAUUUGCUUUACCUGCGGUGGGUUUUGAUCAUAGCCCUUUACUGUUCAACACUGAAGCAAAACCCAGCAGAAGACAUAGGCCCUUUUUGUUUGAAGCGUUUUGGUUACAAGAUCCGAAAUGUAGGGAGGUCAUCGCUAACGCCUGGAAUUCAGUAAUGAUCUUUGUUUCUGACUUGCCAUAUAAAUUGAAGAUUGUAAGUUCAGCCCUUGCACAUUGGAGUCAUGUAAAGUUCUCUAAGGCAAAACAUCAAAUUUCAGCUUUGCAACACCAACUACAACAUAUCACCAAUCAAACACAUGGACACCAUGAUAAAACAACAACAACAACUAAACUUAAGGCAGAGCUCCAAAAACUUUGGUAGCAAAAGGCACAGUAUUGGGCAAUAUGAUCUAGGAUUAACUGGCUAAGGUGGGGCGAUAAAAACACCAAAUUCUUCCAUGCAACUACCAUUUAGAGAAGACAAAGGAAUAACAUAAGAAUGCUGAUGAAUGCCAACCAGAGAUGGGUGCGAGAUGAUAAAACUUUGAAGGAGAUGACAUUGGAUUUCUUUUCGAACCUUUAUAGAUCAAUGGGUCAUCGUGACUAUGGUCCCAUUCUUGCUCAAUGCCCGAGUAUUGUUACAACAGCAAUGAAUACUAUCUUAAUAGCUGUGGUCACUCGAGAGGAGGUCCGCAUAGCAACUUUCCAGCUGGGAACGACUAAAGCCCCGAGCCCAAAUGGCUUGAAUGGUCUUUUUUACCAAACCCACUGGGAUAUAUUACAGGAUGAGAUCUUCAUUUCGGUACAGAAUUUCUAUAAAACAGGAGUGAUGUCCACAGCUCUUAAUAGAACUAUUAUUUCUUUGAUACCAAAAACACCUCAUCCGGAGAGUUUGGAUCAAUACCGUCCCAUUAGUCUUUGCAAUUACACCUACAAAAUUAUCUCCAAGGUACUUGCCAAUCGUCCAAAGCCCUUGCUUCCUGACCUGAUCUCUAAGGAACAAACUGCCUUUGUGAGUGGGCGCCAAAAUCCAGGACAACAUCCUAAUAGUACAGGAGGUGCUUCGCCAGAUAAAGAUUAGGAAACGGAGACGUAAUUUUCCAACAAUCUUAAAAAUGGACAUGCAAAAGGCAUAUGAUAGAGUGGAAUGGGAUUUCCUAGAAGAUUAUAUCCUCAGGUUAGGUUUCCAUCCUACUUGGGUACAGUGGGUGUUGCAGUGUAUUUCAACAAUCUCUAUUAGCAUAAAAUUCAACGGAGAGCAAUUGGAGUAUUUCCACCUGACACAAGGCCUUCAACAGGGCAACCCUCUUUCCCCUUAUUUGUACAUCCUAUUGGCAAAUGUCUUAUCAACUCUCAUCCAUCAAGCCAUUAACAUGGGGAAUCUUAAGGGUAUCCAGCUAAACAGGUGUUGUCCUAAUCUUUCCUAUUUGUUUUUCGUCGAUGAUGCAAUAUUUUUCUUAGAUAGCCCAAUCAAGGAAUGUCAAAAUCUCACCAACAUACUAAAUCUAUACUGCUUAGCUACGGGACAAGCUGUUAACCGGAAUAAGUCAGGUAUUUUCUUCAGUAAGGACUAUCCUAGUAGUCUACAAGAAAACCUGGCUAGGGAAGUUAGAAUCUCUGUGCUCGACAGAACGGGUAAAUACCUAGGAAUUCCUUUAGAUUGGUGACGUUCCAAAAGAGACAUGUUCGCCUGGCUUUUGGGUAGGGUGAAUAACAAACUCGAAGGCUAGAAAGAAAAUCUUAUUUCGAAAGUGGUAAGGAAAUUCUGAUUAAGACUGUAGUGCAGGCGAUCCCAUUAUAUGCCAUGUCCAUCUUCAAAAUUCCCGUGUCACUUUGCAAUUCUAUUGAAAAGAAGAUUGCUCAUUUCUGGUGGCAGAAUGAUUGUUGUAAGUCAGGGAUUCAUUGGAAACAAUGGGAAAUCCUAAAAAGUAGAAAGGAAAAGGGAGGUCUAGAUUUUCGAGAUCUCAUUACUUUUAAUAAAGCAAUGCUUGGCAAAUAGGCCUGGUACUUAAUCCAACAGCAUUUCUCACUAUGAAGUAAACUAUUUAAGGGUCUUUAUUUCCCCUCAAAGGAUUUCUGAUUUGCAGACAAAGGUGCCCGACCCUCGUGGGGUUAGCAAAGCCUACUGUCAGGAAGGGAUUCGAUAUUACCAAACCUUCAGUGGUCAGUUGGCGAUGGGACAUAUAUCAUAAUUCGCGAAGAUCGUUGGCUACCCAAAGGAAUACUCGGUGGACCAGCAGCUAGAGAAGAACCUGUGAUAGUGGCUGACUUACUUGAUAAGGACUCUAACAACUGGAAUGUUUCUCUUUUGCAUCGCUAUUAUGAUACUCAAACAACACAAGACAUACUCAGAAUUUUGGUCAGAUCUAAUUUUGCAACAAUAGACUUAUUUGGACAGCCACAAAACAGGGUCACUAUAUAGUAAAAAACAGAUAUCAUGCAAUCAGAAAUGCAGAACCAAGAACUAUCAACAAUUAAGCCUCAUGGUCCUUUCAAACACCACAAAUCCUUUGGAAAAAAAUUUGGAAGCUUAAACUUGCACCCAAAAUUUGGAUUUUUCUUUGGUCCAUUUGCCAUAAUGCAUUGCCCACCAAAGACAAUCUUUUUCAUCGACACAUUAGCACAGAGCCGGUCUGGACACUAUGCCCUAAUCAUACACUAGAGACGAUUGAACACCUUCUUCUAUUAUGUCUAUGGACACACAGAAUCUGGUCUCACCCUCACAUUAGCAUUUAGAUUGCACCAAUAGAAGUACAUCGUAUUGACGAGUGGAUUGCAGAUCGAAUUGAAUAGCAGAAGACCUCACCUGAUCUGGAGACUAUUGCGGCUGCUUUCUAGCAAAUUUGGAAGGCACGAGACAAGUCCAUUUUCUAUCAUCAACACCCUAAUCUGACCUUUGUAGUGGAUGUAGCUCUCACACAAGUUAAAAUCGCUCAAAACUCCACCUAUCUCUCGGCAGGACCAGGAUGUAAUCAUUCCGACCAUGGCAAUUUUUGGCGGCCCCCUAAUCCAGGUGUCCUGAAAAUAAACAUAGAUGGGGCUUUUCACACAGAUAGUACUGAAGGAUCUAUGGCAUAUAUCUGCUAAGACCACUUAGGGAAAAUGUUGGAAGGAUUUACCAUAAUUGUUACCACUUCUUCAGCCUUGCAGGCUGAGAUCCAGGUGCUCAUUGUCACAAUGCACCAUCUACUGCAGCAAGGCAAAUAUGCUAUUCUACUCCAAGUUGAAUCGGAUUGUCUUCCGUUGGUCGAAACCAUUAACGAUCAGCAAGAGCCACCAUGGGAGGUCCGAGCCUUGUUCGUUGAAGUUGCCGCACUCCUCCCUUGCUUCUCACAUCUUCAUAUUAGGUUUUGCAUAUGGGAAGCUAAUUUUGCUGCAGAUUGGGCUGCUAAGGUCCAUAGAAAUGGCUCAUUACAUCCUAAUUGGGCCACCUCUCCCCCCCCCCUCCUUUCUUGGAUUUGCUUUACUCAAACGCUUUAGUAGCGGGUUGUAAUGUUCAUUUCCAUUGAAUGUUAUUUCCUUUUCGUCCAAAAAAAAAAAAAAACCUUUUCUUUCUCCACGACGGCUGUUUUUCGUUUUCAAUAAUUUCAAAGGCUGGAAAAUCACAGUAAGGACAAGGACAGUUGAAAAGAGUAGCACGCAUGUCCUCUCCACGAUACAUUGCAUGAUGGCUUGGGCCAAAAGGGGACGGUUUGAUGCCCGAAAUGUAUACGAGUAGGCGAAGAUGUAACUUGGCCAAGAAGACAUGGAGUAGAUACUUGGGCUACCCUUUUUUUUUCCAAAGAAUCGUGAAAAAGGUCACUUCGUUAUAUUUCAAUUUGCUUUUCUCCCGUUGCAAUGAUGAAAUUUUAGAAGGUAGCGCAAAGGUCAAAGAAAAGAUGUCUAUCUUGUGGAGUAAAUAUCUGGGUAAGUUGGCAUUUACAUUUGUUUUCCAAGAAUACCCUUCUGUGUAGUUUUCUUUUGCUUCAAUUAAUACGACCUAAUAUCGAAACUAUGGGGAUCAGCAACAAAAGUAUCAUAUCUUCAACUAAGAAAAUUAUCAAGAGUGAGCUUAAGUCUAAGCCAAUCAAUAUAUCUAAUUAGAUAUAUCUUUACUCAAAAAAUUAUUAAAAAGUUUAAGUUAAUAAGUUAUGAGCAAACUAGAAUAUAUAUUAAUUGUUCUACUCCAUAUCAAUUUUUCAAUGUUGGACUUUUAUAACACAAUUCACAUGUGUAUUGCUAUUCCUUACAUGUGAGCUUAGUUUUACGUCUCCUUCCCAUUUGUUCAAGUAUCUUGAUGUCUUAACCACAUCUGUAAAGAUCCAUAAUCAUUUAUUAAGAUGCACAAUAAAAGUCCAAUAUCUUUAGCUGGGAAACUUCAAAGAAAGAACUCAAGUCUUAAUCCAGCAACUUAUUUACUUAGACAUCUUUACUCAAAAGUUUAUGUUAAUGACUUAUAAGUUAUGAACCAAUUAUGAUAUAUAUUAAUAGUUCUACACUCACGUACAUCUCAGCAAAAAAAAAUUGAUCUGACUAAUUUAUCUUCCUUGAAAAAUAUAAAUCUCUUUGUCUACAUGCAGUGGCUAUGGCAAGCGUGACCCUUAAAAAUACGCUAGGUGAAAGAUACUGAAAUUUGAACAAUAAAUCUAUCACACUCCCAAAAUAAACGUUAACGUGUUAAAUUUCAGUUGCUGCGCUCUCUUUUUAGAGUAAUACCUUUGUGAACUUUCAACGUUGAAAUGGAAAUUCGCGAGAACAGUCAAAACACGUCUCAAUUGCCAUCGGAGUCCAGCAAGAAAAGCAGGUUGGACAAUUUUCCACAGUAUGAUCGAUCAAGGAUGGUUCUGCAUUUAUAUUAAUUUUCAUCAGAAUUUUUAUUGGCAUCAAUGUCAAUUCGCCCUUCUUCUCCUAAGCACCAAUCACCAUUUAAAUACAAUCACAGAAGACACUAACAAAGCAAACCAGUGGUCUUGCUGUGGGGAGCCGAAAGCAUGAAACACUACCAUUUCGUACUCGUACAUGGCGCCGGCCAUGGUGCGUGGAGCUGGUACAAGCUCAAGCAUCGGCUUCAGUCGGCGGGCCACCACGUCACAGCACUCGACCUCGCUGCCUCUGGCACCAACACAAAGUCCAUACACGAUGUCCACACG
rnacentral:lncRNA from 1 species